rnacentral:lncRNA from 1 species
UCCGCGAUCGUCGCGUACCGUAUUAUUGUUAUUAUUAUUAUUAUUAUUAUUAUUAUUAUUAUUAUCGUUAUUAUUAUUGUUGUUACUAUUAUUGUUAUUAUUAGGUAUAAUCCACCGGGCGCCUGUGCAGCUCCUGUUCGAACAGCGUUUACGGACGGACGGACGGGGAUUUGUUUGAGGUACGUAAACAAUUAUAGCAGUACUGUUUGUUAAUAUAGCAUUAUGAUCGUGAAGUUUUUUUUUUUUUUUUUUUUCGGUUUUCUCGCGCAGUAUGAAAAUAAUAUUACACGCGUAUACGUUGUAUGGGUGUAUAAGCGCCGCUGGUCGCUAUAAUACGUUUUUCGUGUUCCGCGUAUGCCAUGUCUAAGAGCAACAAUCCUAUUUGAUAUUUAAUACUUCCUUGAUAAUAAAACUAUUCGAAUGUCACGAUAAAUAAGUAAUUAACAAUCAGCGUAUAUCCAACUCUAUUUCAUUUUUUUUUCUCGUAAGUUUCUCACGGUUUUAAUUGAAUUCAUCACAAUAAUAUUGUGAUGUAAAGUUCACGGCGAUUAAAAAGAAAAAAAACAUUUCCAAAAAAUAUAAAAUGAUACACAUGAAUAAAUAAAUAAAAAAAAAAAAAAAUCUCUUUUUGAAAUUUAAAUUCCGAUAAGGCGACGACGACUCUGAUUUACAAACGGGAUAAUUUACAAUAUUUGCAUAUUAUUAUAUUCGUAUUAUCGUUACGAAGCCAAAAAGUCUACACUACUAGCGGUAAUCAAAGUGGAAUUAAUUAAUGCUAAUAUGAUCAAUGCUCGAUGUGGUUUUUUAGUUUUUAUGUUUUAUGUGCCGAUGGAUAAAGUGAAUUUUUUUUUCACAAAAAAGGGAUUUGGCAUUUCGAUUAGCCGAUUUACCGUCGGGACGAUUAUUAUAAUAUUUAUUAGAGUAAAAUAGUUAUUUGAGCGUAGGGGUAGGGUUUUUUUUACCUUUGAAAAUAUAUAAUUUAUUAUAUUUUCCAAUUUAUACUUCCUAUAAUUGACGUAUUCAUUUAAACCUGUGCAUUUUUUUUUUUUUUUUUUUUUUUUUUUUUGUAUGUUUUUUCGAAAUAAAUGAUAUUUCGCGUUGAUUUACAGGUGGACGAAGGCUAGGCGUAUUCGUUCUCUCUGUAAAAAUAUUAAAAAAUUCCAUAAACAUGGUUCCAAUCUAAAAGUAACAGAAAAAAAAACCGAACGAACUCCCCGUAGUGUUCUCGGUUUUUUCGAUAUAUAACUGACAUGUAGAUGAAGGUAUUACAGAUUACUUUAUGUAGCCACUCGUUGUACCGUGUUUUCGAAAUUCGAAAUAACUCCGAACAAUGACUAUCGAUAAGCGAAAUACUGCGCGGCCGCCCCCGGUUGACUUUUUAAUCAACGCGUUUCGACUUUUAAUAAUAUACUGCAAACAACCCUUCGCCUCUGAGUCGAACGAUUCACUACUACCUAACCACGAACCAAUAAACAAAAAAAAAAAACGUUCAAUUCCCCCCCCUAUUCCUAAAAAAAAAAAAAAAAAAAACACCGCCUAUUAUUAUUUAUCGUUUGUCGAAAAUAAUUUUAAAUAAAAAAUGAUUUCAAUAUUUUCGGAAAAGAAAACAAUUCCAUAAAUUGUUUUACCGACAACGCUCGUCUCGAGCGACAACGAGAUAUUACCUAUAAUAAUAAUAUAUGUACAGUAUAUACAAUAUAUGGUGUUUUAUUAUCGGGGGUGUACAAAUGCUUCGGUGUAUAGCUAUUGUAAUAGGUAAUAUAUAUAUAUAUAUACACAAUAUACAUUCAUAAUACAUAAUACAUAUACAGGUGUAACAGAACUAUUUGCCAUUUUUACAUUGUAAUUACAUGUAAAAAUGUGAAACAGUCCAGUUACACCCUGUAUAUGACGACGGUGCCAAUAGCUUUGUGGCGUUUAUGAUGCGAUGUCAAAAAGACAAUAUUUAUUCUGUCGGGCAAAUAAUAAUAAUAAUUCGCGUGCAUAUAUGAACUACUCUGUAUAUAUAUAUAUUUAAUACACGCACACACGCACACACACACACACACACACAUACAAACAUAGUAGAGCACACUCUAAAUAUUGACGGGAAAACAUUGAACGUUGACACAAUAAUAUUAUAUAUGGAAUUCGCGGUUUCUUAGUGGCAAAAGCGUAAAUAGUGAAAAUUUUAAAAGUUUAUUGGAGUAUAUAUUUAUGGUAUAAAACAUCGUGCACAAAAAAUAAUAACAAAGAAAACGGUAAAGCCGAGGCCUGCCAUAAAUAUUUGCCGUUUUACCUGUAAUUUUGUUUCGGGUUUUUCUAAUUAUUUUGAAAACCCCUUGUAUAACCAAAAAAAUUAUCUCUUUAAUACAUCGACUAGAUAAAAUUAUUUUUCCGAAAAAAAAAGCACACAUCAUAAUAAAUUGAAUAGUUGCACGCUGCACUCCGAAUCUAAAAAAAUGUAUACAUAAUAAUUAAUUUAAUUUAAUUUAACUGUUGCUAAUGACUCAAUUAUAAUUUGAAGUAAGUUAAUAUUUAAAUCGUGAACAAAUAAAAAAAUAAGUAAAACUUUUAAAAAUUGGUUACGCCUAUUAUUAUAUUACGAGUACGACGAACUACUAUAUCUACAUAAAUUUUAGCUACACCGCGUACUUAAAACCGAUUUCAAAUGCAACAGGAACUCCUCUAUUGAUCACGUACGAUAAUGUGAAAAGGUAAUUAAAUUUGAAAGUGCUACUUUUACUAGAUUUUUCAUAUUUAAUAAUACGAGUAUAUAAAUAAUAUAUAUUUUUAGAUUCUGAGUGAAGCGAAGAAUGUAUUGGUUGUAAGAUAAGACUUGAAAUUUGGAAAAAAAAUUUAUAUUUACCUUUUCUAGAUGUGGUAAAAUUUUCUAAAAAUUCAAGCCAAUUUUAAUUUUAGGCAAAUAGGCAUUAGUUUUGUACGUAAUUUUUAUUCGUUUUAUUUGUAUAGUUCGAAAAAAAAAAUUGAAUUUAAGGUAUUAUUUUUUAUAAGGGAAUUUUUAUAUCAAAUUUUGACGAAAAUCGUUUGAGUAAAAAAUUAUGUGAAACAAAUCUAAUUUUUAAAUUUUUUUUUCUGAUCAAAUGUACAUUGCCGAUUUAAAAACGAAGUCUGAAUUAAGAGACUAACUAAAUUUCAAAAUCAUAGCUUUUUGAAGUUUUAGUAUUUUGCGGAUAUUAUAUGUUAUGUUAAAUAUGUCUAUAUUAUCCUUCUAAAAGCAUAUUUGUCGUGAUCUAAUGGUUAUUCAUGCCUAUUAUUAUCCUAGGAGAUCCAAUUUCAAACCAGUGUUUCAAAAAAUAUUGUUUGCAUUUUUUUCCCUUUUACCUAAAACAAGAAAAAACAAAUGCACAUUGGAUAUACCUAGAGACCCAAGCCAUCGCCCUUGGACAAUUUCAAUCGCAUUAUACCCCUCAAUUUGUUGGGAAAACUUUUUACUAGAAAUCUUGCUUCGAUGUAACAAAUGUUGCUUAUUUUUUAAAAGGAAAUUUUAUCUUCAUGUUAAUUUAAAGAGUUCAUUUUUUGGUUUUUCAAACGUUUUUCAUAAUAACUGUGAAAAACUGGGAUAAAAUUUCAGGAAAAACGGAAAAUGUGUAAAAUGUAGGUAUAUGUAGGUAUUAGUAAAAAAAUAUUCUGGCCUUUUUUUUCUGUGUACAACUUUUCUACAGCAAAUUUUGUUCCGAUUUUAAAUGAUAGAACUUUUUCUAAAAGGAAAUCUGGCUGAAAAGGUACUUUAAAGAAGUUAUUUUUCAACUUUUCCAAUAGUUUUCUAAGCAAAUGUGAUAAACCGAGAAAAAACAUGGGAAAUCUGGAAAAUCGGUACAGUAUUAAACAAAUAUUGUUAAAGAAAAUAUAUAAUGCCUAUUUAAUUAUUUUACCUUAAUAUGACUUAUAUAUUGUUUACAAAGCAUCACUAUCAACUCUGCUUAGAAUCGUUUUUUCGUUGGCUACGGUUAUAGAUACACAUUUAAUUACCCAUAAUAGGUUAGGAUGCAUCAGUCUUCUUUAUCCUAGGACGUAGUUUUAAAAGAAACGCAUUUUAAUUAUAUUUUAUCCAAAAGAAAUGAUACUGAUGACGGGAGUGGCACUGUUGUAGACAGAAUUUUAGGAAAGUGAGAUGUACACAAUUUUUUACUUAGAUCAAAGAAAAAAAAACUCCUCACUAGAAGGUUUUUCGCUCCAGUAGUCAAAAGUUAUGUAUACCUACGCCAUUGAUUGAUAUUAUCGUUUCCACUCGUUUAAUAUCAUAUAAUAUUAUAUUUUGAAACUGCCGUAUUUAAAAUAUCAACAGCUUCUAAACAUUUAGUUCCGAACGAUACAUACAUUUUUUCUUUCGAUCACUUUACAGAACGGAAACUCUGUUAAACACAGAUAAGUUAAAUGUAAUGGAAAUCGGGUCGGUUUAUUGCUUAGCUUAUUAUAUUUUUAUUAUAAUUCUCGGUGUUGUGCAAAGGUACAUUUAAAAAUAUCUAGAAAAAACUAAAUUAAGUAACACCGAAAUGAGUGCUAAGAGUGCUAUAUAUUAAUUAUGAAACACAUCUAAAUGUUCAAAAGUAUUCAUGUGAAUUAAUAAACCAUAUUAAGAUAAAUAAUAUUUUAUUUACUAUUUCUAAUAUAUAUUAUAUUAAUACGAUUUAAAAUAAAUUAUCGAGAUGGGUUAGUUAUUUUUAUUUCAGAUACCUUAUUUCCCAUUGAUCUUGAGAAAAUAACAGAUAACAUAUACUUACGCCUAGAUAAUUUAUCUAGAUAAAAUACAAUUUGCUUUUUUGUUCUGGACAAUAUUCAGAUUUUCACGGAAAUCAAAAAUGUAUCGUGUCGCGUAGUUUUUCAAAUUUAUUACGUACAUGCAAUACUAAUUAUAUGUAUUUAUCAAAAAUUAUUACUUAUUAAAUACUACGUUUAUUCUUAAACUUAAAUCAGAAUUUAUAAUCUAUCUUCGUCUUAGAAACGUAAACUAAAACUUAAAACAUGGUUGUAAAUUUGUUUAAAUCAUUGUUUCUAUAAUAAUAAUUUUUUUUUAUCAUUUACAUUACGAAAUUCUACGAUAAACGCAUUAGGUUUUGCAACGUGUCGUUAAAAUUUGUCCACUGUGCACACAAUAUGAUUUCUUUUUUAAAUUAUGAUUGAAAAUCGUGUGGUGUUAAUAAUUUUUCAGCGAGUCCCGUAUACUAAAUUGUUGACGCCCCUCAUAUGUUGUGGUACAUAAAUCAUUUUUCAUAGAAAUUCUCGCCCUCUGUGUUCGUGGGCAUAAUGGGGAAUAAUCCGCCCCAUUGACGUGCACCUAAUGUACAAAUUGCCCGGGAGCAUUAUUAUUAAUAUUAUUAUUAUCCGGGGCACGAAUAUUCCGCGGGAUCCGUUUUGGUAUUUGUACCUGUGUGGGAUGAUGAAAUAAUUUAUCCGAGAGAAAUUUCAAAUACGAAAUUUUGAAACGAAAACAUGGUUGAUGUGGAGUUAAAUAUUUUCGUUUAAACGACCAGAGGACGGGCUUUUUUUCAUAAUACCAUGAAAUCCUAUUCGAUAGUUAUAACGUCAAUUUUCAAAUGUAAUUUUAAAUUCUGCUUCAAACUUGAUUCGCGUCUCACGAUCUCGUCUCUAUGUCGUUAUAAUAUUUUUAAUUGUUUCGAUGACACGAUAAAAUAAUAGAGCCAGUAUAUAUAUAUAUAUUCUGUAAGUUCGAAGGAGUAAGAUGUUUUACCCUCGUCAUAUUCAUCAAAAAUACCGCGAGGGAGCAGUGGGGAAUUCAGACAGAAAUUUAACUUGGUUUUGAUUUUCUGACAAAAAUGUUCGUUAUUUGUCACAUUUUGUAAUCAUUCGAUUUUCUCAACUAAAGUAAUAAAAUGAAUAACUACUCUAAGAUAUUUUUGUAUGUUUGUGUAUGUGUGAAAAGUGUGUCCCCUCACGAGUUUUUCACCUUAAGAAACACUUGCUGUGAGACCUCCCGGGGACGAUAUAAUAUUACGUGAAAAAGUGAUUAAUCGGUUCGAUUUUUUUUUUUACUCACCGAACGGAGCUCUGCACUGCAUAAUGCAAUACGGGUGUAUCCCGACGCUUUUAGUAUAAUGUUUUGCGCCGUUCCCCCGGGACGCGUUGACGCCGCGUGUGUUUGAGUGCUUUUAAAAUUCGUUUCAAACAAAUAAUUAAACACAUUAUGUAUGGUAAUACUCAUAUAUACGUAUAAUAAUCAAUCCGUAACUUUUGGAAGUUUUUUUACGCGGUGAAAAUCCUCAAUAACAUGUAUGGAAACGGUAUGUGAAAAUAGUUUUUCUGAUUUUAUUAUCACCUUGUAUAUAGUUACAACUAUAGAGCUUGUGUGUACCAUGACAAAAUAGAUAGGUAUAAUUGCAGUUUUUUGAUAUUAUGCACACUCCACUCGAAUAUUUCUGCACUUUACCUAUAUUACCGUAGUUACUUCUCAUUGGCUAAUAUUAUACUAUGGUAGAAUGGAGAGCUACGACAUAUGCCGAGUUUGAGAUCUGAACGACUGACACACUGCAUGUGAUUAUGCCUAAGAGGUCAACUCUAUUGAUAAUUACUGAAUGUUUUUCAAUAAUUUUCGUUUUUUAUUCACGGAGAAAAUGAUUAUACCGUUAUUAUACCUACAUGAUAAUGUUGGAAUAUUUUAUCCAAAUAAUAUUAUAUGAUUGAGAUAAAAUUGAUUAUUUUUAUGAAAAAUCUAGUUAUUUUGUUGAGAAGAACUUUGAACCGUUUAUAAUAGUUGGUAUUAGAAAUGGUGGAUUUUGAAAUUUUUCCUUGGAAGUAGGGAUUUCUGAUAUUAUUUUAGAAUAUAUUAACAAUAUUUAUCUACUAAUCAUAUUUUAUUAAUUUAAUUUUAAUUAACUUCCACUAACAAAAAAACCCAAUUAUUUCUUUACUUACGUGACUGUAGGUAUCUAUAUUUUACUUAUUCUAUUCAACAAAAAAAAUUGUAUUUACUUAAAUUAAAAAUCCUCAUUUCGCUAUUUUUACUCAUCCGUCCCAAAAUUCUAAUCUAAACAGCUAAUCAACGUUUCCAGAAAAUCACGGUGGAUUUUCCACACACAGAUAUUAAUAUAGGUAUUAGGUAUACAAUAUAUACUAUAUAAUUGUACUCGUAUAAAUCCUAUAAAAACUAGAAAUGAAUCCGAUUAUUAUUAAAUAUUACUUUAACAAGCAAUUUGUAAUAAUUUUCCAAAAAUGUUGUGUUUGUUUUUAUUUCAAUAAAAAACCGAUUCACAGCCAAAACUCAAAACCUGGCGAUCCAGACUUUCUACCCCCCCAAGCCUUACAACCACCAUUAGUGAUUAGUAUACCAUAGAACUUGUUCAAUGUAAGAUAUACCUAAUAUGGUGGUUUUUGGAUACAUAACACUGAUAACUAAAUUAAUCAGUGGUUAAAGUGGAAAAACCUUCAAAGUGGUACUAUAUUUACUGGAAAUUGAGGGUCUUUUUGAAAACUAACAAAACUUAAACAAACUUUCAGGUAUUCUUCUACUAGGUAACUAGGUAUUCUUCUUUUUUUGUGCAAAAAACUAUGUCGUUCGUUUAUCUUAAGACAGUAAUAGUUUGUCCUCCUAUUCAAAUACCUUUCUGUAUUUCUGUUCUGUUUGGUUUUUGUGUAUGUUAUAGAUAACUCUCCUUUCGUUGUAUUUAAUUCCUAUUCCUUUAAGAAUUUUAAAUAAUUCAAUCCAUUGUACUCUAUCAAAAGUUUUCUUUGAUCUAUAAAGGCGAUGGAGGUUUUCUUGUUCCAUCUAAUCCUUUUUUCUAGCAUUGUUCUUAGUACUAAGGUCGCUUCUCUAGUUUCUACUUUUUCUUAAUUGAUCAUCACCUAGGUUCACAUCGAUAAUUUUUUAUAUUCUGUUUUUUAUUACUCUAGUUAAUAUAUUUGAUGCAUUGUACCCUUCUUGGAGAUUGUUAUUAUAUUCCCUUUACUGAAAUCUUCGACUAUUUUUCCAUUUAUAUACAUUUCGUUGCAUAUUUUUUUAAGUUCUUUAUUUAUACUUUCGCCAGCACUCUUUAUAAGUUCUGCUGGGAUUUUAUCAAUACCACACUCGUUUUUGUUCUUUAAAUUUUAAAUAGCGAAUUCAAUUUCUGAUUGGAGAAUAUAUUCUCCUAUUCGUCAUCUAUAUGAUCUUCUAAAAUGGUUUUGUUAAGCUGACCUGCAUACAGUUCCUCUAGAUAAUCCUUCCGUAUUUUUUAUUUAUCUGUUAUUAGUAUUUGACCCGUUUUACUUCUUAGAGCAUUUCCAUUUAAUAUUUUUAUACUGAAUAGUUUUCUCACAAUUUCGUUAGCUAGAUUGCUUUUUUCCUGUUUUCAGAUAAUCUUCCACUUUUGUAAAAUGAUCAUUUAACCAUUUUCCUUUGGCUUCUUUUGCUUUAAUUUGUAUGGAAUUUCUGAUACGUCUAUAGGUCUGUUGACUUUAUAUACAACUUUGAUUUUUAGGCUUUCUUUCCUUGUUUAUUAAUUCUACAAUUUCUUUUGUAAGCCAGAGCUUCCUUGCUUCUUUCUCUUAUGCUCUCAUUACUUUCUCAGCAGUAUUUUUCAGUAGUUGCUUAAUAUUCUUUCAUAUUUCUUCUAUUGUGUUAGUACUCCAUAGUUCUUUUGCAAUCAAAAGUCUGCAUUUAUUUUCAUAUUCUUCUUUUGUUUCAUCAGUUUUUAAUUUCCGUGUGUUCUAUCUCUUGGUGUUAGUUUUUUUUUUUUUGAUGUUUUAUAUUUAAAUUUAGAUUCCAUAGUAAAAAGGUUAUGAUCACUAUUGAUAUCUACUCCAGGGUAUAUCUUACAUUGUUUAAUUUUAUUUCUAAAUCGUUUUUUUGUCAUAAUGUGAUCAAUUUGGUAUCUUGUUAUAUAUCCAGAAGCUUUCAAAGUAUAUCAUCUUCGUUUGCAGUGCUUAAAUAGAAUGUUCGCUAGUACGAGCUUGCGUUACAUACAAAAUUGUAUAAGUCUCUCACUUCUUUCAUUUCUUUUUCUUAAUCAAUAGCUUCCUACUAUAUAUCCAUCAUUCUGUUGUCCUACUGACGCAUUCCAACUACCUAAACUAAUGACAUUUUCUGUAGCUAUUGUCAUACUUAGAAAUUCAUCUAUUUUAUCAUAUACUUCUUUGACUGCGUCGUCAUCAUGUUGUUGGCAUAUAUACUUGGAUAAUCGUUAUAAUUGUUGAGCAGGUAACAACUACCAUGACAAUAAAUAAUAUUAUGUGUAUUUACUAUCACUCUUCAAUGUUAACAGUUUAUAGCACCUUUAUGGUUUGAGAAGGUCAAAACAAUUUUUGAUGAAACAGUACAAAUACACCAUAAUGUAUAGUUGAGACAGUGGGACGUGAACAUUUUAUAGAUUUUUGAAGAGUUAUUGACGUGGAUGGAUUUGGAAAAGGAAUAAAUCUAAAUUGUUACUUUAUCUAGUACUCUGAUCUAUUAAAAAAAAAAAAUCCAAGGAGUAUGAUUUUUUUACUCGUCGAGUAAUGUGUAUCCUUACAAAAUAUUUACCUCUCAAAUUUUUGAGUUCGCUACGCCACUGUAUACGGACGAAUUUUUACCCAGUAUAAUAAAAACACGAAUAAAAUAUGUUAGAUAUGAUUUCCGAAGAAUCAUACGAUACAAUAAGUAUAAUAUUUCGUCAUUCGAAAAAUAGUCCGAAAAAAAUACAGUAUAAAAAGUGACUUUAUACCUAAAACGUUUUUUUUUUUUUUUUUUUACUGACAAUAUUCCUCAUUUUACAUAUUAUACUCAAAAAUGAUAUGGUAUUUUAUCUACUGUUUCUAAAAUUGAGUUUUAUUGACGACCACUGUUCAAUCAUAUUGCAAUAAUAAUAUACAGUAUCACCUUCGUUCUCUGUGUUUUUUUAUAUUUUACAUAUAUUUUUUAAAUGUUUAACUGUAACCCUUUAUACAGUUCAUGUGGUAAAAGCAUUUUCAUUUCGAGAAUCUGCGCUAUUAAUGUUUAAAUUGUAUUAUCUAAAACCGGAUAAGUAUAUAUGUAGUAUAAUAUUAUAGUAAACGUGAGUAUAUAGGUUAGGUUUACGUGAAACUAAUUUACUUUUAUCGACCGUUUUCGUAAAGUGUAUACCCAUAGGGCUCAUUUAUUUAAAGCGAAGUACUCGGGCGUAGAUAUUUGUCGAGAAACUUAGACGCGCAUUACUUGAAAAAUUACAUGUUUUGCGUAGGUAGCUAUAAUAUAAAUAGGUAUUAUUAUGAUUGUUGAAGGUAAUAAUUUAAUAAAUUUCAUGAUUAAUAUUUUGACUAAUUUUUUUUUAAAAAAAGAAGAACAAAGCAAACCAUCCAAGUGUUAUACAGGGUUAACUCACGUAACUCGAAAAAAAUUUACGUAUAAUUAUCAUAAAUUUUUAUUUUUUUAAAUUUCCAAUCGAGUUUGUUAAAAAAAAAAUAUAAAUAAUGAUAAUAAUUAUAUCUUUUUAGUUUUGUUAUUAUAAUUUUAUAAGUUAUAAAUAGACAUUUCGCAGUUAAUUUUUACUCUAUAAAGUUAUUCCUCUUUUCCUUCCCACUACUAGAUAACUAAUACUUUGCACGUUAGAAAAAUUCUAAAUUACCUCUAAAUUACCAUGGAGAAAAAAUUUAAUUUUAGAAAAUAGGUUACACUUGAUACAUCGGAGCAAGAUUUCUGAUAGUAAAGUUUGUACGGAAAAUCGAGGGGUAUUUUGCAAAUAAAAUAGUCCGAGGAAGCAAUAGAUUGGGUAUAUCCAGAAUACAUCUGUUUUUUCCUUGUUUAGGUAAAAGGGAAAAAAGUGCAAAACAAAUUUUUUUUGGCACAUUGGUUCGAACUUGGAGCCCCUAAAAUGAUAAAAGGUAUAAAUAACCAUUAGAUCACCACAAAUAUACUUUGGAAUGAUAAUACAGAGUUCUUUAACAGAACAUAAUAUCCGCAUAAAAUCAUAAAUUUAAAAAGCUAUAAUUCCGAAACCUAGUCAGUCUGCUUAAUUCUGACUUCACCAUCGUUCUUAAAUCGGUGAUAUACAUACAUAGUAUAUUUGAUAAAAAAAAAAAAAAAUGAAAAAAAAGAUUUCUUCUACAAUAUCCUUAUAAAAAAAAUACUUAACCUCCUGUUAAAUUUUAAAACAUUUCUAUUCAAGUCUAACAAUUUUACCAUAAAGUACCUACCGAAUAAAAAUUACGUACAAAACUCUCAAAAUUAAAAUAUUUUAAAAAGUUUAAAAAUGGCUUAAAUGUUUAGAAAAUUGUAGGAUGUCUAGAAAAAAUAUCAAUUUUCUGUCUAAAUCCCAAGUCUUUACGAAUAUUUUUAACUGAAUUACAACAAAUCACAAAACUGAUAAAAUAAUAAAAGCAUUAAUUUCAUACAUUUCCCGUUUUUCCUACAUUUUAUUAUAGUUUUUCCCAGAUAUUAUAAAAACGGCUUGGAAAAUCAAGAAAUAGCCUCCCAAAAGUACUAUCUGGACAAAAUUUCCUUUCAGAAAUGGUGCCAUGCGUAUAUAUUUUAGCAAGAUUUCCAGUAAAGUGUUUGUACACAGGAUUAAAAAAUGAAAAAAAAAACAUCUUAGUAAUCUGAGUAAAACCAGUAUAUUCUUCGCUACACUCAGAAUCUAAAACAAAAAAAAAAAAAUGUUUUUGCUACAAACUCACAGCCACCACCAGUUAGGUACUCUACUCGUAUUAUGCUUUCGGCACUUAUCCUAGCAGAAAAAAAAAUAUAUACAUGCCUAUACAUGAAUGAAUACUAUCGAAGUAUAUGUAUGUAAUUUGUUUUGUUUGAUUUAUUUUAUGGUCUGCAGACGAACAAAAAAAAACUAACCAUUUUGUAGCGUAUACCUAUAUUAUAUAUUAUUAUUAUAGACAAUCCCUUGCAGUGUUUGUGUUUACACACGACUGUUCACUUGAAACUCGGACAAAUAUUUACACUAGGUUAGAUGGAAGGAGUGGAGGGGCAUGCAGGUGGAUUAUCGUUGUUGUUUAUUAUUAUUUGCUAGGUUUACUAUAUUUUUAUUUUAUUAUCAUUUUUUUAUCGUUAUCAUUAUCAUAUCAUUUAUCAUAUUCCCUGUCCAUAAUAUAUAAUCACUUAAGGCUUGAACUUCAGUACCUUUAUUAAAAUUAAUUAAUUUAAAGCUUAAAAGUUCUAAAAAUAUCUAAAGAUUUCAUUGAAAAUGUAUUUAAUAAUGAUAAUACCUAAAUAUAAAUAUACAUUAAAAAAAAAUAAAUUCAAUACAAUGUAAUUUAGUCAAGAAAAUAAAAAUACACGUUUGUUGAAUAAUACAGUUGAAAAAAAGACGUCUUAAGAUAUGGAAACGGGUGCAGCCACUGUUAUAGGUAAUUUAAUGUAUAUCUAUAAACAACGAUAAACCAUUGCCAACAAAAAAAAAAAAAAAACAAUUCUGAGCGCAGUUCAGUUGAUAGUGAUGCUUUGUGGAUAAUAUUUAUGUCAUAUAAUGGAAAAAUAAUUAAAUAGAAUUAUAUUAAAUAUAUCUAUUAUAUAGAAAUAUAUUUUCUUUAAUAAUAUUUAUUUAAUAUUGUAUCAAUUUUCCCGUUUUUUUUUAGUUUUUCAUAUUUGUUGAGAAAUCUCCUGGGAAAUUGAAAAAUUAACCCCCUAAUAUACCAUCCCAAUAAAAUUUCCUUUAGGAAUAUGGUCUAUAUUGUAUGCAUCGGCGUAUGCUUUCUGGUAGAAAAAGUGUUCACAUAAAAAUAAAUAAAUAAAUACAUAUAAACAUCUUUUUAAAACUAAUACAUUCUUAACUAUACUCAAAAUCUAAAGUAUCAAUAAUUUCACUAAAUUUUUGAUGUAACAAAUGUAUAAUUCAUUUUACACUAAAUCUCAUUCCCUAAAAAAAAUUUGAGCAAUUCAAUAAAUUUCGAGUUCACUAAUUUAACACUCUAUGUGAUGUAAACAAUAUUAUCUAUAAUACUUAUUUGAAUUGAAAACAACAUAAACGCAUAUAUUCAAGUGAUUCUUUAGUUUGAGAAAACUAAAAGUAACAAAAUUAUAUUAAGUCUUGUCUGGUUUCUAAUUUUCCGAAAAAAAGUAAUGGUCAAGUAAAAAUUGUAUAAUAAUGAAUUUUUUUUUUUUUUUUUAUCAUUAUUCAGCUGUUUAUAGUUAAACAAUACAUGAUAGUAUACAAACAUUUAUUAACUCUUCUCGUUUUCUCUAUUUUUUUUUAUACAUAUUAUAUUAUUAUUAUUUGACUUGUGAAGAGUGUAUAGCUGCCAAAAGAUAUUCUUUAAAUUACUUUUUUUUUUCACAUGUUGUAGGUGCUUUUUAUUUAUGUUUAAGUUUUGCUUUUGGGGAAUUUCUCUUUGAUGGCCCAAGGCUACAGCUUUCUCAGGCCUGUAGGACCACUAAACAAAGGGUUCUUUUCUCUUAAUCUGGCUUUGGUCGGAUUCACGUGAUAUUAAUAUAUUAGCGAUGCAACGUAACUCAGGAUUUUAUGAAAAUCUUAAAAACCCGAAUUCCGGAUUUUGAGACAACAAAAUCCGGAUUUUGGGUUUAUGUUUUUCAAACCUGAUUUUUUUUAUAUAUCUAUAUAAAAUAAAUGUCAAAUAAUGUCUAUUCAAAAAAAAUGUGUCUUCGAGAUAAGGGACUUAGGAUUUAUUUAUGUAUAUACUCCAUCCCAUUCCUUCAGAUCUGAUAUUGCGUUUAUAUAUAUAUAUUUCUUGUAAGACCUUACGAAUUCAUGGUUUUUAUACGAUGGCACACUAAACAUUAAAUGUAGUACUAUAUUUAGUUAUAUUUAUUCAAUUCAAUAGUUCAAUUGAUUCUUGAUUACGACUUGACAGUAUGGAAGCUUUCCCUUCCAGUUAAAAUUAAAUUAUUUAAAUAGGUCCAAAAACAAUCCAUAAUUAUUCAAUAUUCUUAUUGAAAAUUAAUUACGCCCAAAAUUGCUAUGAUCGAUCAUUAAUAAUUUAAAUCUUAUUUCCCUCGAGAAAAGGCGUAUAAAAACAAAUCAAAACGUUUUACUUAAUUUACUUCAUGGUAAAAUAGAUAUAUUUUAACAAAUAUCUACAUUUCUUCUAUUUCCUGGUUGAUCCUUUGUUUUUUUUUGAUUUUUCUAAAUUGAAGAGAAUACUCCUUAAAAAAUCGAAAAAUUACUCCCUAAAGUAUCUCCCCUACACCGAUUUUCUUUCAGAAAAGGUACUACAUUUAAAAAUCUGAGCAAGUCUUCUGGUAGAAAAGUUGCGCACAGAUAAAAAAAAAAAGAUAACUUUUUUGUAAAAUCAUAAACCUCUUCGUUCCACUCUUAAUCUAAAAAAAGUGUUUUUUUUGAUGUUUGAAAUCGGGGUUUAAAAUAUUAAAUUUCAUAAAUUUCAUGAUAGGAAAAACAUGCACAUAAUAAUAUAUUUUUUUAUUUUAAUUUCCUGUAAACUCUUUAACUCGUUUAUUCAUUUAUUUUUUUAAUUAUUCGUGUGGCAAAAUAGAAAAUAAUGAUUAUGAUAAUUAUAACAAUUAAUAGAAUGGUAAAAUAAAAUUGCAUAAAAUGAAUUGGAAAGUAUGGCUGACAGUAUUUAAUUUCCUUUUAGUUAUUUGUGAGUGAAUGAUUCGAUUAAUGAAAGAAAUACUACUAACAAUUAUUACUGAAAUUUUUCGCUUAUUAUAAUAUAUAUGUUAGUUCAUAAUUUAUUGCGAAAAAAAUCAUAUUUUUUCGAAUUUUAAUACCAAUGAGGUACACUUUAGGAUCUACGAAAUUUUACAAAAAUUAUUAUUUUUUAAAAUUUUGAACAAAUUCUGGGGAUAACUGGAUUAAAAAUUUAAAAACAAAAAUAAAACAUUUUCCAUCUACACCAGUGGUUAAACUUAAACUUAUAGUGCACACGGACCCCUGACGAAAGACUUUUAGGAAUCACGGGCCCCCUACCAAUACCUUUUUUUUACAAUAUAGCUCAUGUUAUCAUAAUCGAUAUAUUUAUCGAUAGAGCUAUUGCGCCCAGGGGACCGCUGACUACAGUUUUAGAACUGCUGAUCUAUACGAUAAGAACCCUCCUAAUAUAUAUUAGUAUACCUCCUAGUAACCCUCCUUAUAUAUAUUAAUAUCUAUUAAUCGCGCACAAUGCAGAGUACAAAAUAAAUUACCUAUGUAUACUCAGAUAGGAGAAGUUAAUAGUUAAGUGUAUUUUUAUUAUAAAACCAUCGUGGCCGUCGGCGUUGUCAAGCUAUAGGCAAGCCCGUUUAAUAUGUAUAAUGUAUAUAUAUGUAUAAGAUAUAUAACAUAUAAUAUAUAUAUAUAUAUAUAUAUAUAUAUAUAUAUUUAUAUACAUAUAAAACACCCUUUUCGAAUUUUUAAUUUCGUUUCCGGAGUUUUUGGACGACUCGAAUCGUCGUCGUUAUGGACACCACGCACGUGUCAACUGUAAGUAGGUAUACUCGUACAUAAUCUAUCUCGAUCCAAAAACAUUUUGUAUUCUUCGCGACGUGCACGGCGAAUGCACUAGACUAGAAAAUAUACUCCGAGCGUAUAAUAUAGCUGACGAAAGAGUUUUGUAAUAAAACCGUUUUGUAUUGGUAUAAUAAUAUUAUCAAUAUUAUCAGGUACUUAUUACAUGAUAGUGUCAGUAAAAUAAUUGCUCGAUAAUAUAGAUUUCGGAAGAGAACUAUCAAACCAAACUAAAACUAUGUAUGAUUGUGUACUAUGAUAGAGUCCUAUAUUAUAGUAUUGAUAGGUAUGACGUUGGCAACCAUAUUAUACUUCAAUAAGACCAAUGUGUUGAUAAAUUCGUGACAUUUUUGUUUACGCCAUAAAUUAUGUUAUAAUAACAAUAUAGAAACAAUUUGUCGAAAGACUUAUAGCGUUUUCUAUGUGACUGCACUCGUAUAAAGUAGGGUACAGCUAUUGCCUGCUAUCAACGGCCGCCGUCAGUACAGUAAAUAAAGCAAAUUCCUUACUACCAAUAUAUUGUAAUCUUACCUACACGAGUGCAAAAGAACGAAAUUGUCGAUUUUGAUGGUGGAGAUUAUAUUUAAUAAGUAUAUUUUGUGAUAUAACACAAUAGAUUCGUAUAAAUAUUUGUAUUAUUCGAACAUUCGUGUAUUUUGUGUUUAUUGGUAUGUAUUUAUAUAAUUAUGAACUGUUUGUCCAUUAACAAUAGAUUUUAACAAAAAAGUAAUGUUUUACUAAAUUUAUUAUCAUCGUCUUCGUCUCUAAGGGGUAAUGAAAUAAUAAUAAAAUAAAACAUAUAUAAUUAUAGCCUAUAAAUCGUAUUACCAAUAUGGUGGUAUUUUGUAAAUCAUGUUCUUUUUCAUAUUAUCAUACACCAGUAUGGCACAAUUCAGAUACAUAUGUAUAAACGAGUUAUAUCAUAAGGAAAUUCUAUUAAUGUCGUAAUAGAAAAAUUGUUGGAUCCAUAUCCAUUUAACGUCACUAUAUUAAUAUGAUAGCUGGUAAUCGUGUAUUCCGAUUAUUUUUAUAAUUGAAUAAUAAUAUUUUUUGAUUAUUCAAAUAUCUAUGAAUUAUUAAAAUGUAUUAUUUAUUUAUUUUAUUAAAACUAAUAAUAAAUUGGUAGGCCAUGUACUCCCGGAUGCAAAUAUUAUUUAUUUCUUUGACGCCUAUUCGUUCGUAUAAUUUGUGAUUCAUUUCGAAGAUUUUACAUAUAAUCACAAAUUAAAUUUAUCCUUAUCACAUUUUUUAUAGCUAGAAAAAUAAUUCACGGUUUAAUUAAUAAAAUUUGCUGUCUUGAUAUUUAAUAGAUAUUGUGCUAAGAUUCAGAUUUAAUCACAUAGAGUCAGUAGAGUUGUUUAAAAUAUCUGCGAUUAGAAUUGAUAAUAAUAACAAAUAACACAAAAACUAUCGAGAAAUAUUUGCGUUUAUUUUGUUACAAGUACAGAUUUGCAAUUUGAUUGUUUUCAACGGUGUUAUUUUUAUCAAAAAAAUAAUAUUCUACUCAAAUUUAUCUGGAUAAAAAUGAAACAAGGCUAAACUGAAAGAAAAAAAAUCGCUGUCGUUUAAAUAUAUGCUAUACAUUUUAUAUUCACGUCAAAAUACACAGAAUAAUAAUAUACUUGGAUAUAAUGUAAAGGAAUAUAAACAAUGACAUAACUUUUAGGGUUAUUUUAAAAUAUAUUUUGGGUCUUUUGAAACUUUCCUUUUUCAAAAAAACAAAAAUAAAUAAUCAUAAAAAAAUACACACAUUUUUCCGCGCAGAUAAAUCAAUAUUUUGUUUAAGAAAACCUGCUUUCCCAUCAUCUAAAAUAUAUUUAUCUCUCAUAAAAUAAAAAACAAAUAAUACUGCAGGGUAAUUUAGUAUUAUUUGAAAAAUGAAACACUUUUUUGCUCUGUUAAAUAGUUUUAUUUUUUGCAGAAAAGUGGAAGUUAAAAAAAAAGUAUGUAUUUGUAAUAUUUUUAAAAAUAUCUGGUAUUCAUAAAAAAUAUUUUGGUAAUUAAAACUUGUAUAAGUUAUAUAUAGUCAUAGGUUUGUUUAUUUUUUUCGAUUUCAGUUUCUUGAUAAUUUGGCAGAAAUAUGUAUUAUCACUUUUGUUGAUAAUCGCUUGUAGUAUUGAUCGAUACCGAUUUAUUAUUAUAUUUAAAAAAAAAAAACAAUUGUUUCGAAAAAUAUUCAAUGUAACCUUUAUUAUGGAUAUGAUACUGAAAUCGUGCCGGAUAAUCCUGUAUUAAAUAUAAAAAUGCUUAAACAGUAAUAACAGUAAAAAAAAAAAAAAUCCUUAUCAGUAAGCAUGUGCUCAAAACUUGAAAGAAACGGUACAAUUACCGUGUCUCUUAGACCACAACAAAAAUCUCACUAUUCGUAUCGAGAAUUGGAAAUUAAUCCCGAAAAAAAAAACAAGAUUCAUGUGUGUAAUACGUCAGAUUCCGCUUAAUGUGGGCACAUUGGGACCAGUUACAUUUGCCUACAUUAGCGGAAUCCACUGCAAAUUAAAUUUUAAAUAAAUUGCAUACUCUAUAUUUACUUUGCAAGAAAAAAAUAAAACAAAAACAAAACAAACAAAAUACGCCAAGAUUAAAUAUUAAAUUUAAAAAACUUGUCUAGGAUAAUGGAAACGGGUGCAGCUACUAUUGUAGGUAAGAAAUUUGAAAGGUAGAAUAAAGACGGAAAUUUAAUGUAUGUUUGUAAGUAAUGAUUAAACAUUACCAACGAAAAAACGAUUAUUAUGAGUGGAGUUCUGUUGAUAGUGUUGCUUUGUUAACAAUAUAUAUAUAUUUCAUAUUUUGGUAAAAUAAUUACAUAUGAAUAAAACAUUUUCUUUAAUAAUAUUUGUUUAAUCGUAGGUCUUCUAUUCUCCCGUUUUCUCAGUUUUCCCAUCUUUUUCCUUGUUUUUUCUAUUUAUUGGCAAAACUCUUAGGAAAAUUAAAAAAUGACCUCCUAAAAAUACUUUUAAGUCAGAUUUCCUUUUUAAAAAAGUACCAUCAAUGUAAAUAGGAUCAAAAUUAUCGGUAGAUAAGUUAUCCACAGAAAAAUAAAAAUAAAUAUUAUUGUAAAACCAUAAGUUUCUUCGCUCCACUCAGAAUCUGAAAUAAAAAUAUUCUAAGCGAUGUUCGGUUAACCGUGUUUUGAAAUACUGUGAUUUAUAAGAUUUUCGUUAAAAUUUGAACUAGAAAGGCUUUAAAAAAAAAAAAAAAAAAAAAAAAAAAAACAUUACGCUCAACUGUUACCACCAAGACAAUUUAUGAUGAACAUAACAGUAAAGUACGUUCAAACAUAUUGAAAAUGUUCAAAAUUGUUUUAUUCCAAAAAGUAAUUAUCAACACAUAAUAUUGUAUUUUGCAUAUGGAAGUAUUAUUUUAGGGAUUGCUUCCUUUUUUAAUUGAUAACAAGUGUGAAAUAAUUAUUCGAAAUUCAUAAAUGUAUAAUAAACUUUAGAGUACCCGUGGUUUUUAUGAAAAAUCAUCAUCUACGAUUAUUUAACCGUUUCGCUAAAAAUAAACAUCAUAAGUAUAUCGUAAAGAGGCGCAAAUUGCAACUAUUUGGUUCGCAGUGGUCAUUAUUACGAUUUCAUAUUUGCAAGAAUAUUAUUACUGUACCUGAUACUUGUAGGAAUUCACCUUUCGGUCUGCUUUCAUUACACUGACUAACAGAAAAUUCAAAAGCGUUCCAAAUAUCCGAGUCCUUUGUCGUUGCGCACGUCGUUCUGGAACGGCAACGACAAUAAUAGAUCGCCAACAGUUAUGCUACCUUAAACACACAUACACGCAUGCACUUGUGUGCCGUUUCAUUUAAGCACACGUAAGUUACAUAAUAAUAUACACAUUUGAAAACUAUACGUAGUAAAUCCAAUAUUUGUUCCCCAAUACCCUACAUCAUCGGCCAAACAAAUUGAUUUAACAAAAAUGUUCGAAAAAUUAUAAUUAAAAUUAAUUUUAAUUAUUUUAAACUAAUUUUCCAUCUCAAUUACGUAUAAUCAUUGGCGUGGUCAAGUAUUCGUUUCACCAUAAUAAAAUUUGUUGAAUUUAUUGAACUUUUCAAAUUAUUAUUAUUAUUAUUUGUAUGGAAUAAUUUUUUGUAGAAAUUGUAAGAAACUGAAUUUAAAAGGUGAUGUAUUAUACAGGGUGAUUUUUUUUAUCAUGAACCAGGAAUUAUCUCAAAGAAUUUUAAGUGAAUUUGAUUUCUGUUUUUCUAAUCAUUAUGGAAUCGUUUAAGCUUUAUUUUAAAGGUAUUUUUAAUAUUUUACCCCUAUUCCAUGUACCUUAAAUAACUAUAUAAAUUGCCUAUCUUUGACCCUUCUCUACUCCUCCGGUCUAAAUUUUAAACUGUUAUAACUCAUAAACGGUCAAAUUAGUUUUAUGCAUAACAAAAUUUCUAGAAAAAUAUUCUCUAAUCAAAUCUGUGUUCAAAAAAAGGGUUCCUAUUUAAAAUAUAAAUGUAUGUACUUAUUUAAGUUAUAAGAAGUAAGGGUAAAAUAUUAAAAAUAUUUUUAAAAUAAAGCUAAAACAAUGCCAUAAUGAUAAGAAAAAACAGAAAUCAAAUUCACUUAAAAUACUCCGAGAUAAUUGCUGGUUCAUGAUAAUAAAAAUCACUUUGUAUGCACUACAGGGUGUCGUACAGUGUAAUCUGAAUGCUAGUAACUCUGUCAAUAUUUAUUUUUUUCAAUCGGGUUUUGUAUCAGGGAGACACAAAUGUAUAGAAAAAUUAAAUUUUUAUUUAUAUCCCUUGAUUACUGAAAAAAAAAAAAAACAUUAGUUUUUUACAAUUUAAAGUUUCAAAAUAGCCAAUUUGUAAAAUAUAUUAUUCUACACAUUUUAAUGGUACGUUAAAAUACUUAUAUAUUCGAUCAAUAGUUUCUCAGUAAAAGUCGUUUUAACUUCUAGAAAAUUGAUGUGAUAAUAAUUAAUUUUCAAUAAAAUAACACGUGACGCAAUAUGGAAUAUUGCAAUCGGUACAAUCAGCAUACAUUUAAAUCCCUCAAAAAAAACUUGAUAGAAAAUGUAUUAAAAACAUGAAUAUUGACAGAAUCCGUCAUCUUAAUUUUAAUAGUACUAUUAUUAUUAUAACUUUAAUAGUUACAGCGAUCGAUUUGAAAAUGCGUUUUUGCGGUAAAUUAAUAUAAUAUCUUUUAUUAUUAUUUAUGUAUAAUAUGGUUUAAGUGUAUCGAUUACGGGAUGGUUUCCGAGUUUAUAUAGAAGUAUAAUAUUAUCGUGUAAAAUAAUAGUGUUUUCAGGACGGACGAAUCGAUACAAAAACGACGCUCGACGAUAGAGGCGCGAAAAUUAAACGAGACGCGUAAAAUAUAAAAGGGGCCGAAAGCACGAAGCAUCGAUAACGUUAAAAUAACGGACGAUGGAAAAUCCAGAAUAGUAAUAAUAUUAUCGUAUCAUCGUACAUUUUGUGUUAUAUAUUACUGAUUAGUAUAAUAUGAUACAGUUUUUUUAAAUUUUUUAUAUACUGCAACAAAUAUAAAUAUAUUAAUAAACGACUCAUUAUCAUAGUAAUAAUUAAUAUCGUGAGAUUAUUUUAUAGUAUUUUUUAAAUUUAAAUUCUAAGUAUAACUAAUAUGGCUAUAGUUUUAUUAAAAUGUGUUUUUCUAUGAAUACCGUAUUUUUUUCUUUAGAGUGAAAUGCUCCACAAAAUAUUCACCGGUUUACUCCCAAGAUCCUUUUUAUAUUUUUUAAAAUUUUUCUAGAAAAUAUAAACUAUUGUGCUGUAUUGUGUCUAUAAUAUAUAUAUAUAUAUAUAUAUAUAUAUAUAUAUAUGAAUGUAUUAUGUUAUAUAUGGAUAUUUUUUUUUCUAAUAUAAUAUUUGGACACUUUUAGCGGCUCCCUCUGGACCAAAAAAGCUCGGGAAUUACAGUUUUCUUUACAUGAGGGUUGAAGUGAUACAAUUUUGGUAAAAUUUCAAUAUUAUGUACUUUGCCGUGUUGUCGCGAGAGGAGAUUGUUUUCUAGCCUACACCCUUACAGACCCCCUCCCCAAAUGAACCCAAUGUGAUAAAAUUAUCAUCUCUUUUUCCAACCAUUUUUAUGCUCAGAUUUCAUGAUUUAACAAUAAAUAUAUACCUUUAUGGACUCAUGAAAGUAAGUAAAUUGAUUAAAAUAGGUAUGUAUAAAUAUAAUUUUCAUUAUGGGUGUGCCUUUAAAAGGUUUGAAUUUCCAACCCUCUAUCCCACCGUUCGUUUGUAUGUUAGCGAAAAUCUUGAAGACUUUUAGUUAAAUUCUUAAUUUCUUACAAUUAUAUUAAAAAAAAAAAAAUAAAAAUAAAAAAAAUGAGAUGUGUAACAGCAAAAAGUCAGCUGAUGGAGAAUUUAACUCUAGUGCGGGAGUUUUGCUGCUUAUGUAAUUUUAAAAUUUUGAGUUUAGCUAUUAGUUUUACUAAAAUAUGUUUUUCUCGAAAACCCUUUUUUUUCAUACUGUGUUAAACGCUCCGCUUUACACGCAGUGCUCUAAACGGUUAGGAUAGUCAUUUUACUCGAAACAUUAUUUUUAAAUACUAUACGGUUUAUUCCCUAGAUCAUUUAGUUAAAUUUUAUCGGGAAACACAGUUUUUUUACUUAUACUUAUCGUAGUAUAUUUUUUAUUAACCUUCCUAGUUUACCGAGCUCCGAUUUCUCUAUUGCAAUAGUUUUAUCGUUGGCUUCAGUAUUUAAAUUUACAAUAUUUAUAUCCUAUACACUAUACCCUAUGGCCUGUACAUUCAAAACUCCAGCGUGCAACUGCAAUCUACCCAGUGCUCUAUUUGCGAUUUGUUUUGAUUGGGAAGAGAGACGUAUAAACACAAUUUAGAAGGCAAAUUGCACCUAAAUCAUGCCCACCAAUAUUAUAGAAACCGGGUUACCCUAAACGGCCAAACCCUUAACACUUCCCACUAAUACGUCAAUGGGCGUAUACAAUAUGUAAACGGUUUUGUAUAGACAGUUUUAACGACAUUAAUUAUGAAAAUACAUAAAUAUAAAAUAUUUAUAAAUAGGUAUUAUAGUUUUUUAACUCCAGACAUUUUCACCUCCCGACGUUUUUUUCUCGGGCAUUUUGGCAGAACCCUAUUUAUCUAUAUUAUAGUAAAACUAAUAGAUUCCUUGCUACACCCUGAAUUUGAAAUAUAUCAAUUAAUUUUAAUUUUAAAAUUGAACAUAGUCGAAUUGCAGUUAAUUAUUGUAAUGAGUUGUGAAUUUUUUAAAAUUAACCAUAAUUAAAUUAAUAUAAAUAAUAUUCUAUGUUUUUCAUCAAUCAUUAGCGAUCGGUGCAUAUUGGUACGGUUACCUUGGUAGAUAAGAUAGCCGUAAACGGAAUUACGGUAUUUAUGCCAUGUGAAUGGUUGUAAAUAAUUAAUAACGCACUUAACAUAUAAAUAUUAAACUCAGAAUAUCUCGAUGAAAAAAAUCAAUUAAUACCUAGUAAUAUCCAAAGGAUCCAUUUGUCGGGUUUGUAACAUUAGAGAUGAUAUUUUUAAAUCUUUCACAUUAAAUAAUAUAUAAUAUUUAUAAAGAUAAAAAGAUGAUAAAAAAAUUAAUUUUUCCGAUAAUUAUUUUGUAAAAUUUGAAUUUGUUUUAAUGUUAAAUUAUAACUGUUGACAAUACAAUACAUUUCGAAGUAAAUAUUAAAACACUAUAACACACGUAUUUUUCAAUGUAUGUACUUCCGUAGUAUAACUUUCUCUCUUAUCAUUAUUGACACACUGAAACCAACUUAUUCUUCAAAUAAUAAUUCCAGUCCUUAAGUAAAAUUGUAAUCAAUAUCAAUAUCGCAAUUUUUACAAAUCAAUUGGCCAAAAUGUACAAUAGUUUUUCAGUUUUUAUUUUUUUGAUUAAUGUCUAACAGCGAUUACCAAGUAAAAACAAACAUAUAUUUUUAAAAGUGUAAAACGACACGUUACGUCGGGUCUAUAAUAUUAUAUUAUUAAUUGUUUACCUAUAAUAUAUUUAUUUUAAAUAAAUAAUAAUAUAAUAACAUAUAAAAUUAAAAUUAGAUGGUUGUAAUGAAGAGCAGGUAGUAUAUAAUAUUGUCUUUGUAAUAUUUGGGUAAUCGUAUACAAAUAUAUUCCAACAAUAGCAGUUCAAAUUAACCAAUUACAUGUACUUAUAGCAGUGUCAACAAUUUUGUAGGUAUAUUUUGUACAACAAUAGUCGUCAAAAAUAGUAAAUAGAUCGUUAAUCGAGAUUUCGAAAUAUUCAGACCACUGCUACUGCUGCUGCUGUUGCUGUCGACUGUUUUAUGUGGCUUUUCAGAGUUGAGCAAAAUUAUUCGCUGCCCGAUUUCCGGCCAAAUUGGUGACUUUAGACCGAUGUACCGUUUUAUUAUGUCGAACUCAGAUAUCUCUAAAUCAUUCGAAAAAAAACAUAAUACAAUUCCAUCAGUGGAAAUAAUUAUAGCGCAAAAUGCCUGCAGAUGAUCAAACGCGCGAUACGAGAAGAAACUUUGAAUAAAUUUGACGUUUUAACGGUAUUUUUUGCAUUCAUUAUAAUGUAGAAUAGGUCAUUAAUUUUAUACAGGGUUAUCAACUCUUGAUAAGACACUCAUUAUCUCGGAAAGUAUUUUUCGGAUUUCGGAUAUUGGACAAUUUAUAAAAGAAGUAGUUCUAAAAUGUUAUAUUACCGUUAUUUUUUGUCACCCUUAUUUUUGGCGAUGACACGAAUAAUAAUUUUUUUUUUCAAAUACCAACAUGUAUAAAAAAUUAUACAAAUAGAUGUCGUUUUUGUAUAAAUACAAUUUGUAAAAAUUUUAAAACUUUCUGGGAUAAUGAGUAAUGAGAAUAAUGUUGUUCUACUGCUGUAUUUCGAUACACGUACAUUAUGGAAUGUGUACGGUUUUUUUUUUCAACAAUUUGUUCAAAUUGGCGUUUUCAAAAUAAUAUAAUUGAUUGUUAUUUGGAAAUUAACAGUCGAUAAUAGUAUUAUAUCGUAUUUAUAUUGAGGUAUACGGAGUAUAAGUGUGGGUUUUUUAGAAUAUCAUUGAAAAUAAAAUAAUAACAUAAUGUCUAGGAGGGGGGAUUCCUUAAAAUCCUCGUAUGGAUCUGAUCACCGGUAUUUGCGACAAAAUUCAAUCGCAAUACUUUAUAUUACUGUAUAAUAUACUCACCGAAACUUUUAUAACCGGCGAUAUUUGUAAACGUGAAACCGUCUCCCCCGUUCGCUAAGUACCUGGUCAUGAUUAUCGUAUAAUUUUCAUCCAAAUUUAAUUUCUGAUAAACCGGAACGGUGCAUUCUCCACACCUAGCUUGUAUCGAUUGUACCCGCUUGCCAAUGGGCUGACCCAAGUCUAUGACGACCCGUAAACCUAUUUGACGAUAUCAAAUACAUAUUUUAUAUAAUUCCGUUCAAUAAGUAAUACCUAUACCGAAAAAACAAUGUCAGUAGUGGAGUAGAAAUGUUAAUACAGAUCUUCCAGUGUUAUCGGUUUCAAAUGAAAAAAAAAAAAAAAAAACUUUAAAUUACCAUGACUUAGAGAGCCUGUAUACUGGCUUGUUGUCUAAGAGAUUUGUUAAAACAAUUAAAUUUGGUUUUUUAUAUUUUUAGUGUUUGAUAAUUAUUAUCUAGUAGUCUAUAGGUUUACAAAUAUUAUUAAUUUUAACUCCAUACAUGAUAACAAUUUUAUUUUUAUUCAAGUGCACAUCGUGUAUGAAGUACAUUUGAAUCUGUCACUGUGAUGUGUGUAUUAUAAAUAAAGGGGCACAUUUCAAUGUUAAAUAUAAAUUAAAAAUAAACAAAAAAUAAUAGUGUUUAUUCAAAUUAUAAAAAAAAAACACCAUAUAAUAAUGUAACAAUAUAGGAACAUUGUUUAAACUUUGUUGUAAACAAAUGCGUUGCAUGUUUUAUAAUUCAAAAAUCUACCCCGUGUCAAAAUUAUCAAUUAAAAGCGUUUUAUAAAUUGUAGUAAUUAUAAAUAAAAUAUGUAUAGUAAAUAUACUACUAGGCAACCAAAUUAAUAUAAGUAAACGUUAUAAUAUAGUUAUGAUUUUUGAUCUUUGUUUCCAAAAAGUUCUUACGGAAAACAAGAUUAAAAAAAAAAAAAAAAAUGUAAGUAAACAGAUUAUUAUUUUUGUUUAUUACAAAGAUGGCAAAAUAUUUCUUGUUUUGUAACACAGUAUGAAAACCAGUGUGACUAACUAUUUUUAAUUGUUUAUUGUAUUCGUUUAAGUUACUUUAACAAAAUAUAUUAACUAAAUUAAAUUCUGCUCCAUCCUCUCCUAUCCUAUAUCGAAUUGAUAACGUAUUAAGUAUUAUCAUAUGUAUUAAACAUUGCAUUAUGGCGAUGGUCCUGCAUAUUGAUAUAACUAUGAUUUGAUUGAGCAAAUUACGUGAAGGCGUUUUCCUAAAUUAUAUCUGAAUAUCUCGGCCAAAACUACGUGUGACAACCCGUUCCCCGGCUGGUAAUAUAGAAGAUCAAUUGCGCGUAGUUACUUUGCCUAGUACAGUGAUAACCAUACAACAGUGGUUCCCAACUGGUGGUUCGCGGACCACCGGUGGUCCGUGGACUCAUCUUAAGUGAUCCGUGAAUAAAAAAAUUUAAAUUUAAAAAAAUGAGCGAAUUUAUACUUGAUAUUUUUUAUUAUUAACGGCUUAGCGCCUAACAGCCAGAUAACACACUAUCGCGACCGAUGAAAAUUUAUGUACGGAUAUAAAUAACAUUAUCUAUAACUAUAACUAUUAUCUAUAAAAAAUAAACAACGAAAUCGUCUGAAUCCAAGUGAUGAUAUGCGACUGGCACUAAGCAACAGCAUCGUUCCAAGAAUUUCACAACUGGUAAAAGAAGCGCGCCCUAUUAAGUCACAUUAAUACUCAAUAAUAUUAAUUUGUUAUAUUUUUUCUCAUUGAAUAAGUUAAUCAAUAUAAGUUCGUAAAAUGUAAAAUUUAAAUUUGUAUUAGCUUUUUUUAUUAAAUUAAAUUUUUAAAUAAAUAAGUUAAAAUAUUUUUCUACGACAUAAACUGUAUUUCUGAUUUUAUUUUGUACCUAGAAAUUAUAAACCAUAUAUAAAACUAUAAAAAAAAUAAGUGAUAUAAAGAGGGGGGGGGGUUUGAAAUCAGGGAUUGGUCCGUGACGGUGAAAAAUUUAUAAAAGUGGUCCGUGCCUAUUGUUGAGUUGGGAACCACUGCCAUACAACAUUAUACUUAUAUUUCCUAUUCGGGUUAUAGGGGUAUAUUAGUUGAUAAAUGAAACAUUUGAUUUUCGACGCCAUUUCUUAAAUAAAAACACUUAAGUAGAAAACGUAGGAAAAUGUACAAUUUUACAAUUUCAUUAUUUUAUAAAAACACGGACGACGUUUUCUACCAGAAAAAAAUGAUUUCAUCGAAAAAUCACGACACCUUUUUGUUGCCUUUUUGAUUUACUUUCUACGGUAUUAUCGGCAACAUUUUUGAGCCACUUUUAAACCUUUAAGAAAUUUUAAUUUUGGGAGUUUUUUCGCUGUAAUUCGCUUAUAUAAAUACACGUAAAGACUUGAAACUUGGUAAUGAUACCUAUAUUGGACUUACCUAAACGUGGUUAAAUUUCCAAAAUCAUCGGACGCUUUUUUGUCGUUUUCAAUAAGCAUUUUAAAAUCAAAUUUAAACGAAAAUAGCAAAAAAAAAUUAUUGUACUCCAAAUUAUGUAUAGCCGAAAUGCGCUCGGAAUUGUCUUUCGUCAAUAAUGGUUUGUCGUUGCUACAGAUAUAAAUGAAAUAAUCUUAUGUAUCCUACCUUCCCAACUUCCCAUCUACAACAGUGGCUACAUCUGUCCCCAGUAUCGUUUUUUCUAUGUUUUUUCCUUCAUUAUAAUUAAUGAAGGAAAAAACAUAUAAAACCAAAUUUUCUUUCAGAAAAGAGUAACACUUGAAAAUCGGAACAAAAUCAAUGGUAUUAAAGUUGUUUAUAGAUAAAAAAAAUUAAAAAUUAAUAUCAUAGUAAAAAUAAUACAUUCAUCAGAACCUAAAAUUUAAGAAAAUGUGUUAAAUGAAAAUUUAAUUUUCCAUAGGUUCUUUAUAGAUAUAAAUAUGUAUUUUGAAUUUUCUGUGAUUUUUGUAUGAAUUUUAUAUAUUUCUAAAGAAGUACCACAUAAAAAAUAAUUUUUCAAGGUUCAUAAAUAUAUAUACGCUUUAGAGUACCAUGGUGGAAUCGGAGGAAAUCUUUUACUAUCAGUUAUUACAUUUUCUCCUAAAAUGUAGACUAUUUUAUAGUAAUCUUGUCUGUUAUGCAUAGAUAUAUCUUUUCCUUGCUACUUUAAAUAUUUUUAAUGGUUCUCUCUUGAUUAAAUGAGCUCAAAAUCCUGAAUUAGAGUAGUUUUAUAUACAGAUUGAUGUGGUACAAUUAUCGUUGCAGGUGAAGGGCUUUUUUAUUGCGAUUUUAUAUACAUGUAUAUUAUAUACAUAUAUAGGAUGUCCCAUUCGGAUUUUCAACUAUUUACACCUUCCCGUCCAUUGUUAUGCCCAAAUUUCAUGCUUUCACAAGAAAUACUGGGUUUUAAAAUUUACUAAAACGUAGUAAAACUCUAUAUUAGAUCAAUUAUUUAGAAAUACAAAAAAUUAGAUAUUUAAAUAUUUAAACGACGAUAAGUUGACUAAACACAAAUUGCACUUUAGUGAUGGAAUACUGCUACUCACAUGUGUUAACAUGGUUAUAACUACACAAAACGAAAUUAUUUAAUCUGUAAUAGUUAUCAUACCACCAUUUCAUACUUCAAAGUAUAUUAUUACUAUACCUGAUACUUGUAGGAAUUCACCGUAUAGAAUUUUUUCGUUGUACCGGUGAACGGAAUAUUCAAAAGCGUUCCAAAUUUCCGAGCCCUUUAUCGUUAUCUUGCCUACCUCGUUCUGGAACGGCAACGACAAUAACAGAUCGCCAAACGUUAUGUUACCUUAAACACACACACACAUAUAUGUGCGACGUUAUAUCUAAGCACACAUAAAAAAUAAUAAUCACAUACGAAAAACUAUAGAUGGUAAAAUCGAUAUUAUUUCUAAUUUAUACCUAUUCUGGAAAUGUGAUUAAUGUUUGAUCGAAUUCCACCACUUUGCAUUAUUGCUAUCGGUGCGUCGGUCCAGGAUUUGGUCGAUGAGCCGACCGGUUUCACGUUAGUCCAUAGGUUCUAUUUACAGGACAACCGAUUUUUAUUCAGUAUUACGCACAAAAAACUAUCGAGAAUAGAAAUAUUUUAUACUCUAAUCAAAAAAACAGCUCAACGUUCCACAAAUAUCACUGAUAAAUUUAUAUUAAAUGCCCUAAAAUCCAGUAAAAUAAGCGAUAUUUUUAAAAGUAUGUUGCUAGUAUUCAUUGAUAAAUAAUGCAACUUCAAAUAAUAAUUAUAAAAAAAUGAUUUUUAAAUUAUUUAGUAAAAAGAAGAUAAUGCACAUCGUUACAUUUAAAUACUUCUUAUCUUAAAAAGUAAUAACUUUUUUCGGAAUUUGUUUUAUAAGACAUUUAAAGGAAAUUUUCCAGUUGACAGAAAAAUGAUAAGAUGACAAGUUUAACACAAUAGAGUUUCCAACAUUCUAUACUACAGAGGUGGCCAAAAGUCACGCAACGCCUACCGUCUUGUAUGGAACGCGCGUUACGGCGCAGUUUCUCCCUCCACGUCGUUUUCAUUACAUCAUAUUGUAACUUUGGUCUCACUAUCUUAUUUACGUACAACAACAGCAACAAUUAUAAAAAAAACAACAUAACCAUGCCAUUAUGCGGUUGUGGUUCGUGAUUUUUUGAAUAAAAACUUCAACGAAUGGAUUGGUCGCCGUGGGACGACGGAAUGGCCCCCAAGAUCACCCGAUCUCACAUCUUGUGAUUUCAGCAUGUGGGGAGUUAUCAAAGAUCGAGUUUACAAGACGCCAAUCUAAAAUUUGAUUUAUUUAAAAAAUCGAAUCGAGGAAGAAUUCUAAAUUUUGAGCACCGAUUAUUCGUAUCUUUACAAUGCCACAAACGUGGUAAAAAAAACGUUGUGGAGCAGUUAUUGAAGCUGGAGGACAUAAUUUUGAACAUUUAUUGUAAUUGCCGUAAGAUGAUGUUACUUUGUAAUGUUAAUUUUUAUAUCAUUUUUUUUUUUAUUUGAAAACAUAAACGACUUUUUUUACUAUUACAAAUUGUGUUGCAAAUAUGUUGCGCGACUUUUGGCCACCUCUGUAUAAAUUGUAUACCCUUACGGUAAUGUGACCAGCCUAUCUCAAAAUAAAAAUUGGCUCGUACAAUUGUUUAACUCUUAUCGUUUACACAACCUUAAAAUAAAUAUAUUUUAUGUAACCACUAAUCACCAAGACAUUCAGUAUAACUUUUGAAGCUGUUGCCAUCGUUUGUAUUCAUCUUAUUCACAAUUUCUUAUUAUUUAUCACAAAUAUUCCAUAAUAUUUAUUACUCGUAUUCUACUUAUAGUUGUCUUAACCAUUAGAUAAAAUUAAAAAUACAAUACAAUGAAGCUAUGCUAAACUGGACAUUUUGAAUUAAAAUGUAUAUGAAUGAAUAAAAGUAUACAGCCAUGGAUAUCCAUCAUUACUUAAUUUGUUUGAAAAAGAAAACAGGUUAUAAAAUAAAAAUGAUCUUUAGGUUAGUUAAGUAUUAAAUAAAGAAAUUAAAUAUAUUGAAUAUAACAAAAAUGAUUGCAUAUCUCCAUAGGACACCUGUAUAUCACAAAUACAUAGUGUUAUUAUUUUAAAUAAUUUAAAACAUAUUUUUUCCAUAUUGUUGGUAUAACUACACUUUUAUUUAAAUUUUAUCUUUUCGAUAUUGAUAUCACUGCAAGUCGCUGUAGCUACAAUUACCUUAUCAUUUUUCUAACAACUGGGUACUAACCUAUAUUUAAGAAACAAGCAGCUCUAAAAUUUUACAUUCAUGUUAAUUUCUAUCACCCUUUUUUCGUGUAUAAGACUACUAGGUAUCUACUUUUGAUUUUAAAAUAGCAACCUGUAUUUAAAUAUCCAUAAAUAGAAGGAGUAUUAGUUAAGAUAAAUUUUGGUGUUGAAAUUUAUUAUUUCCAUCAAUCCAUACAUGGGAUAUUCCACUUUUAAGUUUGGGUUGGGGAAAGUAUGAUUGAAAAUUAACAUUAGGUAAUGGGUAGUUUUACCCCUAAAAAUAAGAGUGACAAAAAAUAUUAUAAAUUUAAAAUUGUAAAGCUGUUUGUUUUUUAAAUGUUCUAACUAACCUAGCCUAACAAAACAAAUCCCAAAAAAAUUAACACUUUCCGAGAUAAUGGAAGAAUGAAUGAGCGUUCCCAGUUAAAUGAAAAAUGUAAUUUUUCAUUGAAAAAACGAAAAUAUCCAAAAAUACGAAGUAAAAACUGACUUUAUUGUUACAAAUUCCGAACUUUAUACUUCUAGAAAACUAUAUAAAUUCACGGCCCUUAUAUAUAAUAUUAAAAUUUGUAAUGAUUCUUAAACUCACGUAGUCUAUAAACGCGUCCGUUAUGAGAUCGCCGAAAUUGCACUCUCUGACCCUACAAUACUUGUCGAUACCUUCCAAAAACACACUUGUCGAACCUAUCACUUCUUUUGUCUUGAAGUUUAUGAGAUUAUCAAAAUCUUUUAUUUGGUUCAAAAUGUUGUGGUCUGUAAACGGAAAUAUGUACACAUUUAGGUUACAUUAUUAUCAUUAUGAACUAUCAAUUUUGAAUAGGUACAAUUUCUUUUUAAAAUAGGUUAUAUUUAUAAUAAUAUACCUUGCCCGAAACGGUAAUCCAACAAAACAGGAUUCCCGUAACUUCGAAUCACUUCUCCUGCCUCGUCAAAUUCUAUCCACAAUUUUCCCAAAUAUUUGGUCAGAUGAAACGCCUGUACUACGGGCACUUCUCUAUUCGUUCUUGGUUGUUUUACCAUAAAUGGAUACUGGCCGACGGGUUCGUCGAUGGGGUCUGGCGGAUCUCCUGUAUAAAACAACAUAAAACUUGUUGGCCAUUUUUUCCCGUGUAUUUUUUAAAAUGUUUUAUCGUGAAAUUCACCAUUGUAUAAAAACGUGUUGGUAUGCCCACCGAUCACCAGAUCGAUAUCGUCCACUUGUUCCGCAAUUUUUUUGUCUGUAUCAAAACCGGAAUGCCCCAGUGCUAUAAGAAUAUUCACCCCUUCGUUUUUCAGGCGUUUCGCUUCAGCAGUUAUCGAUGGGAUUUCUGGUAAUAUUUUUAAAUUACCCACGAACGCUAAAUACUGUAUUAAUACGCAAAAAUAACACAUUUUUCAAUAGAUAUAAAUACAUUUCAAGUUUUAAUUUUUUUUACACAGUGGCAGUUACCUGAAAGAGGGUGGGGUGAUCGGAACAUUCGCUCCCCUCCUCCCGUAGACCUUAUGCAUGUGUGUAUUGUUAUUUUUUUGUAAUGUUUUCACAAUUGUUUUCAAAAUAUAUUUUUUAAAGUAACUAGUUAAUAAUAUAUGGUGGUCGAACACAUAGGUAUAAAAUAUUUUUGUUAUCCGUUUCUAUGGUAGAAAUGGAUAAGGUUUCUGAUGUUAUCAUUUUUUUUUGGCGGUUCGACCGUUGUUUCCUAUCAUUGAUUUCUAAUUACAAAAUAAAUGUGUCUGGAUCGUUUAUUUAGGCUUGUACUAUGCAUAUUUACCAGGAAAAAAGUAACCAGUGGAUGAUAUUAUUAAAAAAUUCUCUUCUAUGAAAAACCAGAGGUGAGACAAUAUGUUAUACAUUUAUGACAUGUAUUAUAAUAUUAUAUUUAUUUAAAUACAAAUUCCUUAUUUCAUGUGUUAAAAUGUUAUAUUUCACAAACCUAAUCUAACCUAACUUUUUAAGUACCCAAUCUCUGUAAUUAUUAAGACAAUUGUUGUAUCUGCGACAUUACUUUUUUAUGGAAUUUUCUAUUUUAAGAGUGGGUAAAAAUAUAUUUCACCCCUCCCCUAAAAAAAGCUUAGGUUCGCCACUAUUCUUACAUUUGAAUAUUCGUAAAAAUAAAAAACAAGUCAAUUAUCAUAUUUUAUUUAAUUUUUUUACAUACUGAUGUUUCCGGCGUCAAGUAUCCGAUAAUGCCGAUUUUGCGACCGUUGACCGUGAGCACCUUGGAUUUCAUUAAAUUUGGCUCAUUAGCCAAUGAAGGUUCGCCGGUUAGAUCGAGAUUACUGGCCACUACCGGAACGGUUAUGUUGUGUAUGAACAACUGGACGUCUUGCACGCCGUCGUCGAAUUCGUGAUUUCCCAAACUCUAUAACGUACACGUAAUUCGUAUUAUUAACAAAAUAAUAAUUUAUUAAAAUAAUUUCCAAACUAAAAAAAAACGAACAUACUUCACAUAAUGGGCGGGCCACUAUUGCAGGUGAGAAGUUGGGAAGGUAGGAUAUAAAGAGGAAAUUAAUGUAUUGUAUGCAAUAAUAAAACAUUGCUAACAGAAAAGGAUUCUGAGCGGAGUUCAACUAUACUUGUUUUAAAGGCCGUAGUAUUUACAAUUUCCUUCAAAAUUUGAUAUUGAAAUUCUAAUAUAAAAAACAAAUACUACAUUAAACUCAACGUUUUCUUGUUGACCACUAGGCACCAAGGUACAACUUAUAAUGAACGUCCUGUUAAAUUGUCAAUCAUUUAUAUUUGGUCUAACAAUUUUUUUCACAGUAUACCUAAUGAACAAAUAUUACGUUAAAAAAUCGCAAAGUUAAAAAUGUUUAUAAAUAGCACAAAAAUUAUUCAAAUGUUUUGAAUAUUUUAUCACUUCAAUAAAAGCAAAUAUAAUGUCUCUGUUCAAAUUUCAAGUCUCUGCGAACAUUUCGAACUGAAUUACAAAAAAAAAAAAAAAAAAAAAAAAAAAAAAAAUAAAAGCAUUAUUUUCGUACAUUUUUUCUUUUUCUUAUAUUUUUUACGGGUUUUCCCAAUUAUUAUCAAAUCGUUUUGAAAAUUAAUAAAUUACCUCCUUAGAGUAUCAAUGAGAUAAAAUGUCCACACAAUAUACAAUUCAACCAAUACUCUCGAUAACGUCGUCUAUUCUUCAUCCUCAUUGUUUCCCACGUCGUUUAUUUUUCGUGCUCUUUGUUUUUCACGUCUUAUCACAGUACCUUUAUUUACUGCAAAAACCUAUAUUCAAUUAUUUUUUGGCCUACUAAUUUUCUCAUUUAUUUAUUAUUAUUUUUAUUUUUUUCUAGGAAUAACUUUUCUACCAGACAUUUUCCUCCGACUUUGAAAUAUAGCGCCUUUUUUGAAAGGAAAUAUUAUUUUGUUGAUACUCUUAGGAGGUUAUUUUUUAAUUUUCAAAAUUAUUGGGAAAAAAUGUAAGAAACGGGAAAAUUUACGAAAUGUAUUAUUUUCAAUUUUGAUUUUAAGUUAUAAUCUAGUUUAAUAUAUUCGUAGAGAAUUAAAAUUUGGAAAGAAAACUUCUAUUUUCCUUUCUUAACUUGGUAAAAUUUUCAAAAUAUUUGAGCUAUUUUUGAUAUUUUUAUUUUGCCAGUUUUUAAGUAAUUUUUAUUCUGUAGGUACUCUGUGGAUAUAAUUGUUAGACUAAAUAGAAAUGCUUGAAAACUUAACACGAGGUUCAUUAUAAGUUUAUUAUCAUGAAUAAAAAAAAAGAACUGACUUCAGAACAUUACGUCAAAGGUAGCAUAUAAAUAGGACUUUUUGGAUAUACGUUCUUAUUCUUUUACAAAAUGUCAUACUGUGCACACAAUCCCUGAUAGAGUCUAGUUUGUUAUUUAUAUAAUGUUAUACAUAAUUAUAUAACUAGUCAUGUUGUUUACUUUAACUAUAUAUCAAAGUCCUUAGUUUACUCAAACUUCCAAUUCUAACAAAACUCGUUUGUGAAAAUUGAAUUUUAAAAUUUUAAAUCAGACAAUAGGCGAGUUGCUUAAUCGGCCAAACCAUGGCCAAAAUGCGUUAUUAAUUGCGUUUUUGGAGUUGCCUGAACCACCCGGCCGUUUGAGCAGUGCUUUUCACGAGCAGCUAUUUUUACCUCGAGGUCGGUAAAGGUAUCUUUAAUCGUGCUGUUCACUCAUUUACCUCACUUGUUUCGUCUUGUGUACUAUGUAGUUUGAUUUGAAAAGAAAAUAAUAUAGCGUUUCACUUCAUUAAAUUUAACUAUUAUUAAUAUAAUUUAUUAUUAUCAAGAUAUUGUGAGAGUCGAAUUCAAGUAUUUAUUUACUGUGUUUCGUUUUGUAUUGUAUUGUACUGUGUAUUUUUUUUGGAAAUAAAAUAAAAUGGCUUUUCACUACUUCGUUAAAUUUAUUUUAAAUGGUGAUAAAACAAUUUUUCAUGGCAAAGUCAUGUAAUUUUUAAUGACGAACAAACAAAAACUAAACGCUUUUGAAAAAUGAACAGAUAAAAAGCAAUGAUAACGAUGUCCCACCGUUCAUUCGGUUUUCAAAUGAAUUGCCUUUAGAUAGUGACUAAAAUCGAAAUUUGUAUGUUUUGUUUGAUCAAGUUUUUAGCCUAUGUACCUGAUUUAGAAUAUUAUCGUAGAGGAAGAAACAAAAAAAUCCGAGAUCUGACAGGAGUUUCAGAGAUUACUAACUUUGUGAAAGUGCAACGAAAAAAAUGGUUCGGACACGAGAUGGGGAAGGCCGACGCAGAGGAUAUAAGAGCAUUUGUCGAGUGAAAUCCAACAGGAAAUAUAGCAAGAGGGCAUUCAAAGAAGCAAUAGAUUAAUAGGAUAAUGUAGGAUGUCCAGAAUAAUAAUAAAAUAGGAAGAAAAAUUGAAAAAUCGUGAGGAGUGGGGGGAAAUAGCGAUAGAGGUAAAAACUCUUGAAGAGUUAUGAUGCCAAGAAAGAAAAAUGAAAGUAAACGUUUUAAACUCUACGAGUUCGUUAUCAGACCGUUUUUUCCUGUUUAACAUUCGAUUAUAUACUUGACGGUUCAUAGCGUAAUCAUUAAAUUUUACUAUAAAACGAAUCCGAUUUUCCGUAAAUUCCUGUUAUUUUUACAAAUAUUCCAUUGAGUCGUUAUAAAUUAUAUUUAAUAUUAUCUCGUUUCUCUUUGUACGCAAGGUUAUACUGUUGUACACUGCUGUACAUUAUUUAUCAAAACUGUUUCACGUAUUCGCAUAUCUAAUAUGAAAAAUUCGCGUUAUGUCAGUUGACACUAAAUUAUUAUACUUAAUAUUAUUAUUCCCUGAAACUUAUACGGCCGCGCGAAUAAUAAUAUAUCAUAAUAUAUUUCUAAUAUAUUUGUUUAAACCCAGACCAAAUUUGAGACGCCGUUGUGGCGAAUAAAACGUUCAUUUUAUUUUUCGUCAUUUGCAUAUUAAGCCCUCAAAGCAAAAACGUCUUAAAUAAUUAUUGAGAACAUUUUUGAGAAAAACGUGUUUUUAUAUUUUGCAUUUUCUAACAUUCAUAAUACCAAGUACGUUUUACUUCUUGAGGCUAUAGCUACAUUGGACCCGUUUCCGAUUCGUUUCGAUACGACUGACCCAACCGGUACCUUACUCAUCCGAUAUGUGUGGCUACAUAAUUUCCGAUUUUGUAUCGACGAUUAUUUAUAAGCAUUCACCGACGCUUAGAGUGCUCAUGUUUAUUAGCCGUGUUUAAUAUUACACAGUUUCUAUUCAAUAUAUUUUUAAUUUCUAGCAGCUCAGAUGACGAAUGGGAUGAUUAACUGGAUAAUAACAAUAAUAUGUUAUAUUUAAAUGAUUCAAGUUGGAUAAAUCAUUUAUGAACAAAUUUUACAAAUGAGAAAUAUUUAAAAAAGUAUUAAGUAUUAAAAGUAUUAAGCUUCGAGAAUAUAUUCUGAUAAUUUAAUCUAAUUUGGUCCAAGUGAUUGGAAGAAAAACAAACCUGUUAGUUUUAUUCUGACUUAUCCGACUAGUCGGUGCGUCGGGAACGAACAGCACGAAUAAAUAUAGCUAUUGCCGAUAAUAUACACGGUUAUGUUUUUCUUUCGACCAGUUAAACUGUCGAAUCGAGUCAGAUCUGAUCGGAAAAGAGUCAAAUAUGCACCCUUAGCCUAAAGUAUGACACAUUAAUUUUUAUACGUCAUUUUACCAGAUAAAUGCAAUGCAAUACAAAUUAAUAUGGAUAAAUAAUUGUUGACGUUUUUAACUAACUUUUUAUAUUGUAAUUUAUAUUAUGACUAUUAUAUUUUAAUGACGUGUUGGUUACAAAUAUAUUUUACACGUGUCACAUUAUGAUCAAAAAAACCACAAUUUGCAGUAAGUAUAAAUGCCACAAAUUUUUAUUUUUAUUGUAUACUAAGCAAAAUUAUCACAUCUUCAUCAAUAUCUAUGGUGUUUUUGCUUAGUAUGGUUAUUAUUAAACGGCGUUUUUAUGCAGUAAAAAUACAUUUUUUGACCAUUUACGUUCGGUGAAAACAAAUAUUACCGAGUAGUUAUUUUUUAGGACAAUGUUUUAAGCAUAUAGUAUAUAUAUUUUUUAUGUAUUUAAAUCAUUUUUUAAUUCUUUUGGACUUACGGCAGUUUUGCUUAUGAAGGCAAUAGAGAUACUAUAUAAUAUAAUAAUUUUUACCCAACCUUGUCUAACGAUGGGUUCUAGUAGAUGGGUAUUUAAGAAGAUAGGAUAUAUAGGGGAAAUUAAAUUGUAUACCGUACGCAACGAUAAACUAUUACAAAUGAAAAAACAAUUCUGAGCUAAGUAUUAUUAAAAGUGUUUUUCUAUUAAACCCAGAAAUCAGCAAUAAAUUUUUCCUUUUUAACAAUUAUUAAAAAAACGAGAGCGAAAAUCACAAAAUAAUCAACUCUGUGGAUGCACUGAUCAACAAGAUGGUGUUCUUUCAGAAAAUAUGCUUUUCUAGGUAAUCAGUGUGAUAUUUCUAGUACAAAAAUUGUUAACAUACAGGAAAACAAUCCAUUAGGUAUCAUAAAAUCUAUAUGCGUUGUAUUGUAAGGAUAUUAAAAAAAAUUAAAAAUGUACAUACUUGCAGCUGAAUUUUUAAAUAGAAAUAAUAUUUUUAUUUGUUUAUUUUUAAAAAGGAAUACCGCGUAAACGCAUUUACCACCGUAAAUCAACGCCAAAAUCCACUUUAACUAAAACAUCAUCUGUUUAAAAAAUUUUAAAUUUAGACGAUGAUUAUUGAAAAUCAAAAUUCGGUAAUGGUUGUUCCCAAAAUAAUGACAAAUAAAUGUCUCUCGUGAUGAUUUUAUAUUGCACAAGAACGGUGUAACAGGUACCUCUAUACGAACACUGAGUCCCGACGGAAACGGAAUAUAUAAUUGAACUUUUUUUCUCGCUUUCCGGUGGGAACAAUAUAAUAAUAAGCGUCACAUGUGUGUAGUCGGAAUUGUUUUCAUAAUACAAAAGUGGAGAGGAGGAAAAUAAAAAGGGGCGAGUGUUGCAGGUUAUAAUAACAUUAUACAAUCGUAUUUUUUUUUUAAAUUACCCGUUCGAAUAACGUGCCGAGAGUGAUGUCGAGACGAUUUAUUAUUGCGUGUAAUAAAAAUGACGAUUCUAACUAGGUAGGUAUUAUAAGUACCUAAAUUGUGCUUAUUAUUUUUUGAAUAUCGGACGUAAAUCUGUCGUGUAUCUCGCGUGGUGCAACCCAAACUGUUUCCAUCCGUUAUUUCUUUCCCGAAAUGUGUCACGUCGAAAAUGGCUUUACGAGGAUGUAAAUUCCCAAACAAGUUUUAUUGAAUAAAUUUAAAUUAUUGGAGUUUGAAUUUUACGUUUCAAGCAUUCUAUGCUUAUAUGGAAUAUUGUUAAAAGAAUUUUAACUAGUUCAUCGAAUUUUAUCGGGUGAUUACAAAUGGCAUGAUUACGAACGUUUUUACUUGCUAUUUUUAGUGCGGAGUUGCCAGAUUUGAUGUUUGUCAAUUAUUUUUAUAUAAUAAAUAUAUUUAAUAUUAUUAAAAUUUUCUUUUAUUUUCAUAUAAACAAAUUAUAUAAGGUUAACAACAAUGGUUUCUUGCUAUUACACCGGGCGAUAACAUACAUAUCAAUAACAUUAGUCCUAAAUUGAUACUAAUUUGAUGGAAACCAGCUUGAUUCGUGUAGUCGUGCAGUAUUAUCGUGAUUCUCGUGUUGUAUAAUAUUUUUACCGAGAAAAAAUUUAAACCAUUUUAAACUCAAUAAUUAUGUGUCAUUUUAUUUUAAUAUAUAACGUAGUUAUAAUAUUUAUAAUUGAACCUCCAAAUAGAAUAAAACAUAUUUAGAAAAAUGUACACUAUCUAAGCUUAACAAAGAAGUCUCAGAAAACGUACACAAUCGUUCGUUUUUCAGAUAAAAAAAAAAUUAUUUGAUAAGCGACAUACGUUCGCAAUUGUGUUAUAAAAAUAGAAAAACGUUCGCAAUCGUGUUGCAUCCAAUUUUAUCAAGUUUCGACUUUAAUAAUAAGUACGUAAUAUCUAUCACAAAAUACAGAAUACAAUGUAACUUGAUAUGCCAGUCAGUCAGUUUGUGAUAGCCGUAGUUUAGUCGUGUAUAAUAUAAUAAAAUUGUACAGUGAAAAAUGUAAAGUAAAAAUCUGAAAAAAAAGGUGCAUAGAAAAAUAUCCGUUUUCUUUCGACAAAAAUUGGUUGUCGACCUAAAACGGUGGAAAUUUACAACACGUGGUUGUAAAUCUUUUUUUAAGAAUAACAGUAUUGGCGAAAUAUAUGAUAUACAUUUGGAACAUAAUCAUUUACAUUUAUAUGACAAUUUUUUAAGUAGGAGGGAUAUAAGUAAUAGUUCAUCAUCGGGUCAUCAGGGUCAAAAGCGCCUAUUUCAUUGUUCUAUUUCGAGCGUUCUCGUACGCUAGAAAAGGUCGAGCGUUUUCAAUCGUAUUGUUACCCUAUGUUUCCCAUAACGGACACUAUCUUCCCCUGACUUACUGUGUUUUGCCCGAAAAAACAUCAGUCUUCUACGGAAAAGCUCUUUCAGCGUUGUGUGAUUUCAUAAAUCCAUAAGUUACAUUCGUAGAUUUUGAAGAGGCUAUUCACUCUGCAGUACAAAAACCAUGAAUAUCGGUGAGUAUAAAGGGAUGCAGAUUCCAUUUGGGUCAAAUUUGAAUUUGGAAUUGACAUAUUUAUAUAAUGAGAGCCGUUUGGGAAUUGGCCUUUUUGUAAAAUGAGAGCCGAAUGGACUAUAGCCAUCUUGCGAUGCUACAAAAUCGGUUUUUUUUUUUAACUUCAUUUACCGGAGAGAAAUAAUCACGAGAUAAUAAUAAACUUACGUGAAAAACAUGUAGAUCCGUUGACUAUGCACUGUUGAGCAACAAUUUGUCAGACAACCAAAAAUAAAUAAUUUGUGUUUUUUUUCCUUUUCAAGAGCUAUUGUUGAUUUACCGUAAAUAAUAUCAUAGAUAACGUAUUUAGCCAUUUAAUAAUUUUCAUCAUAAAAUCAAUUUGCUUUUAAUGGGAAAAAAAUGUAAAAAUGUCUGAUUUUAUUCGCAGUUGGUGUCCCUGUUUGCUAAUCAAAUGUUUUAAGAUAUUUGUCAUUACCUAGACAAAAGGCGUAGAACGCACAGUCACAGAUGCAUGUAUACAAAAUACGAUACGUAACUAACUUUCAUUUAUAUGCUAAUUGCAUAUAAUAUUAAUUUCCUCCAUCUUUUCGAGAAUUAGAAUCAUACCACCAUAUCAAUAUCAAUAUCAAUGAAGGAUAGUAUGGCCGUACAGGGUUAAAGCUUAAAUACCAUAACUGCACUUCGUCGCCCAUCUCUCACUUUCUCAUCAUAUUUCCAUCACAGUAUCUUGAACUAUCUCUCUCCAAUUUUCAACUCCUAAAUGUGAUAAAUUUUCUUCCACAACUCUGGUUGAGUUUUUCACGAAGAACCAAUGUAGAUUUUUUAAAGAAAAGUAUUAAUUAUACCUUGACCUAAUGAUUUUUUUUAAUAUCUUCAUUUUUAAAAAGAUAUGAGUGUUUUAAUUUAAUUUAAUCUUAACUAGGGAUCAGUCAGAUCCGGCUCUUGUUUCUUCGGGUUCAUGGUUAUAUUAUAUCGAUUCUGGUAAUUAUUAUUAUUAGUAUUAUUUAUUUUUUUUUUUAUGUAGUCACAUUCGUUUUAAUCAUUUGUUUCUUUUAGUAAAUAUCGGUAUUUACAAAGGGACCUAUUAUCAAUGAGUCAAAUCACACUAUUAACUAGUAAUCAGUAGACAUUUUUUUCUUUAUCUUAUGAAUUAUACAACGAAUGUUUGAAGUUAUUAUUUUCACAUUGUAAAAAGAAGAACCAGUAUCGGCAUCGAGAACCAAAAGAAAUAUUUUCUGAAUCGAACUGGUACCGAUGUUUUUAGGAACCGUUCCUAAUUUUAAUCAUUAAUAAGGAGUAAUUAAAUUUUCCGCCAAUAUCGAUCUAACUGAUCACCACCGGUAUAAAAAUCUCCAUCUCCGUUUACCGCCACAAUAAAUUUCAGUUUUUGUACUACUGAAAAUCACUUAAUUGUUUAUAUAAAAGGGGUCGAAAAACAUUUUUUCCGAAUUUUGUAAAAUUUUGAAAUUAUCCUUUCUCACAACUCGUCCCUCAACUAUUUUUUAAUUCAUCAUCCUAACCCAUUCAGUCUGCCUCUUAAAGCUUCUACAGCUUUCUUAAACACAUUUUCUUAACUCACUCUUGACCUUCUUAACGGUAUAUUUCCUGACGGGUUAUUUUUCACCGGAAGAGUUUUUUGAUGGUUUCUAAAAUAUUCUUUUUGUCAUAGGUACAUUGCUUCUAGUUCUCGGGUUUUUCUUUCUUCUCCACUUUCCGAUCAUGCGAUUCUAUGCAGGUAUAAAGAUAUUUCCACCGUCACUAACUCAAAAACGAAAAUCGCCCCUAUAAGUGAGAGGCCGCAGCUUUAUUUUCAAAAUAACCGAUGUCUUAUUCUUUAAAAAAUGAUCAUCUAUAAAUCGCAUGAAGGCGGGUGCUUUAUUAGUUCUAUAAUCAAUUUUAAACACCUUUUUGUUUUGCUUUACAUCGACCACGUUGUUUAUUAUGUUGUCGUCCUCUAGAAAGACUUGGUGGCAUGACGCUACUGUGACUUUCACUUAAUGAAGAAAUGUCGAUUGGUAUUUACUCGACGAAGCCUUGAUUGAGGAGGCGGGGAAGAACCUCUCUUGUAUUUACUUCGACGAUUAUAAUAUGCACACCACUUGCGGCUUUUAACACGAGAAAUUACUUUUAUUCGAAUUCGACAACACUAGAUUUUAUAUAACGAUGACACUUGACCUUACAUUCACACGGCAUAUACGAUUUUCUUACGUGACGAUAAUUUAUUAUUGAGUAUUAUUGACCUAUAGAUUAGACGCACGUCGGCUUAAACGGAACAAUAAAUAAUAUAUGCUACGAUUCGCGUGUAACUGCAACUAAGUUAUAGUUGUGAUAAUGUAAUCAAUUACGUUUUGUUUAUAAUAGCGUGUAGUAUAAUUAAGUACGUAAUUUAACCGUAUUAUACGUGUAGGUGCUCGUAUUUUAGCGCGCAUUAAUUAUUUCUCACGAAGCGCCUAACGAUAAUAAAUGAUAUAGACGCGUUUCGCAGGACGAUACAAUUUAUUACAUCAUAAUACGGAGUUCGAAAUAAAACUUACGUAUUAAUAUUAUAAUAUUAUAUACAAAACAAAUAACAUUUGGCGCCACCGUGUUUCGGUAUCGUACAUAAGCCCUUCUUAUAGGGAAGUGAAUGGGCGAUAUGUAUUACCAACCUCCUCCUUUGUAAAUAGGACGUUUUUCAUAAAAGAAAUUAAUCAUGUAACGACAAGUUACAAUAAUACUGCAGAAGAAACAACAUGAAAUGGCGUUGCCAUUAACAAAACAAAUAUUUUAAUAUAUUGGGUUUAUUGAAAAUAUGUAAUCAAUGGUCUCGCUAUAAAUAUAGAUAAAUGUCAAAUAAAACAUUAAAAAAAUAAAAAACGUAAUCACAUCAUUUAUAAAUAUCGUUUAACAGAUAUUUAUCUAUUUCGUUUCUCAUUAAUUAAAAAAUCUUGGAAUAUGGUUUGAUUACAAACUUAUAUUUUAUUCUCAUAUCCUAGCAAUUAAAAAAAAAGCUUUUUCUAUAAAUAGCAUGGUCAAACGAAACGGUUCUGAAUUCAACAACCUUAAUAAUAACUUUUGGGCAACUAUACAUCUCUAUCAUUCGUGCACAGCUUGAAUAUCCUUCGAUAAUCUGGGAAAAUAAUACUAUUGGCUAUAGUAACGAAAUUGAAGGUAUCCAAAACAAAGUUUUCCGAUUUAUUUGCUUUAAUUUUAAAAUACCAAAGACCAACCACUCGGGCUAUGUUAAAAUUAUAAAUUUUUUAAAUUUAUAAUCAUUGAAAGUAAGGAAACACAAUUUGUUCGUCUCAAUUAUUAAUAAAUUAUUAAACAAUAAUAUUGACGACUCUUUCAUUCUUAGCCGUAUUCAUUUUAAUAGAGUCAACCCACAUAAUAUACGCAAUGUAAAGAUUUAUUUUAUAUUUCAUUUCAAAGUAAAAAUUGUACUUAUUUUUUCAUACGUGUAUGUGUGUCCCGUUUUACCUAAGUUCUUCCCAAUUGUUACGAAAUACCCCUCUACGGGAAUAUUAGUAUAUGUCACUAUGGCAGUAGUUCUCUAAAAACGAGAUACUGUUUUACACCACCUGUACGACAGUUUCUCCUUCUCCGAAAAAUUAUUCUGAUCUAUUUUUAUUUGUACACGUUUUAAAAUGUAUAUGUAUACAUUUCUCGCUCAGGCUUAUAGCAUAUACGUAUUAUACCAGUGGUUCUCAGUCUUCAUGUACAUACGACUAAUGAUAUUUAAGUUUUGUGCGCGGAAUUUCUUUAAAACGGUGAAAAUAUAAUAAAUGUAACUUUCUACCAGGAAACUUGUUCCAAACAAAAAAUUAAAAUUAAUAUUUUUUGUUGAAAUUUGGAUCUUGUUGGUGUUUAAGGAGGCUGAUUUUUUAUGUACCGUGUUGUUUUCUUAAUAAGUGAACAAAACCGGGAAAAAUAUAGAAAGAAUGGGAAAAUAUCAAAAUUUUCAAUUUUGUUUUUUGUUGUAAUUCUGUUAAAAAUUAUAAUAGAGACAUGACAUUUUUACAGAUAGAUUUUAUUCAUUUUUACUAAACGUGUUAAAAUUGUUUAACAAUCCUGAAAAUAUUUUUGAGUUAUUUAUAGACAUUUCACAUUUUAUAAUUUUUUUACAUAGUUUUUUUUUAGUAAGUUUAUACUAUGUGGAUACAAUUGUUUGACCAAAAAGUAAAUGCUUAAAAAUUAAAAACAAUAGUUUUAUUAUAAAUUGUAAUUUACGGUAAAAAAAAAUAAAGUCAGGCAUAAUGCAGUAGUUUUUUUAUUUAAUCGUUUUAAGAUUAAAUUUUAACGAAAAUCGUAAAAAUUACGGUAAUUUUAUCAUUUUUCAUGGGCAAUAGUUUUGUUAUGUACAAAUAUUAAUUAAAUAACUAAAUUAAAUAUUUAUGCUAUAAAUCAUAUCACAGCUAGAAUAUUAAUAACAUUUUCGAUUUUAACUGUUUAACAAACGUUUAACCGAAAAGUUCCCCUCACAAGUACGUAUAUUUCGUUUACAAUGAUUUAUCGUCGCGUUCAAAAUUUAAAAUAAAUCAUCCUAUAUUUCCUACCUUUUCGACUUCCCACGUAUAACAGAGCAUUCGUCGCGUUAGUUUUAUUUUUGAUAGUUAUAUUAUUGUACAUUGAGGAAAUUGCCGAGUUCCCGCGAUGUGGGCGAUGUGAUCUGCUUCCGCGUACGCUAGCAAGUGUCCGUCAAAUAUCACUACCCUUCCCCACCAAAGAUCAGUAUAAAUGUUUAAAAGAAAUUGAUUUUAUUUUUUUUUUAUUUUUUUAUAAAAAUGCGGAUUAUUCUCUAUAAUACACACAACGAUGUGUCAGUUAAGGUUAGUAAAUUUGUAGACGAAUGGAACACGGCAGUUGGAAUUUUCACUGUAAAUAUUGCGUAUUAUAAUAUGACAUAUAUAUUGUUGACAAAGCAAACACUAUCAACUGAAUUUCGCUCACAAUGGUUUUUUCGUUAGCAAUGGUUUAUCGUUGCUUACAGAUGAUGUACAUUGAAUUCUCGUUUGUAUCCGAAACUCGACAAAACUCUAAGUGCCCGCGAUACUUGGAAAAACGUCGUAUUUCGGCUGUAGCCUAGGAAAACCUAGUGACCAAUCCCAUUUGGGCAAAACCGUAGCGUCGAUAAAUUUCAAUUUUUCAUAUUAGGUUGGUAACUUAUAAUUAAAUGUACUAACUUUUAUAAUUCUCAAUACCUUCAUAACUUCGGUAUUAUUAUGUAUACGUUGUACACGUGUAAUCACAUUGGACCAGUUAUAUUUUAUUUUAUCGUUAUGUAUAUGUAAUAUAAGAAAAAAAAAAUCUGUACCUACUAUUAAAUCACUACUACGUUUGCCCGGUUAUUUCUGAGGUUCUACAGAUUUCAACUUUUACUUUUAAGUUAAUAGAAUAUUAAAUCUUAUUGUAGGUACAUCUAAAUAUAGGUACAGUGAUUUAUUUAAUUAUUUACUAUGAAUGAGAAAAAAAGUAAAGUAUAAACAUGUCUUUUUUUCGAUAUGAGUGUUAAAUUUUGAAAUUUGAAGUUAUUUAAUUUUUUAAUUUUGAUUUAUUACUUUGGUGGGCCGGUUAAUGAUUGAUCGCGGUCCGAAUUUGGUCACCACUGUUUUCUGUUAUAAUUUGAACUCAUUGAUUUAUUUUUUUUUGUUUGGGAUUCUUAUUUAAUCCAAGAAUUGAAUAAAACGAUUGGAUUUCAAUUUAAUCUGUUAUUAAAAUAAUACUAUUUUUCAUAAGAAACCGAAACAUAAGAGACCGUUUUCAUUAAUAAUAACAAUACUGUAUUAUGACUAAAUAUUAAAAAUGAAUAUUGUAUAUUUCUUGGUAUCGUGUACAUAAUAUUAAUUCAAUCCUUUUUUAAUGUUUUAUAUGUAUAAUUUACUAUGGCGAUGCACAGAGUAAUUUAAAAAUAUUUUUAUAAUAUACCUUAUUACACUCUAGAGUGUAGUGUUUAGACAAUAGGUACCGAAUGUACAAAAAUAACUAUAAUUUAAAAACAGUUUAUUUAUAGGUGUAUAUUUUAAUACUGUUGAGAAGGAAAAAUUCACAUAGUUUAUAUUAUAUCGAGUGCACCCAUUUAAAUGGAUCGCCUUGUAUACUGUUUACCCCACAAUAUUUUUGUUCCGCAUUUUACUAUAUCUUCCAUAAACAGUUGUUCCGGCAGACUUAUACUCCUCAAUCCCUAAUAGGCAUGUAUAACCGUUUGGCUACAACAAACAUACUAAAAAUAAUGACAAUAUUUAGUUAUUUAAUAUAACAUAUAAUAUCAGAAUUUCAAAAAACUAUAAUUUCGAUUCGCUCAAUACUGACUUCACCAUUUUUUUUAUCGUCGAUAUACUCCAUCACCAAUAUACAUAUAUUCAAAAAAAAAAAAAUUAAAAAUUAGAUUUAUUCCGGGUAAUUUUUUUCUCAACGAUUUUCGUCAAAAUUUGAUGUUAAAUUUCCUUUUUAAAAAAAAAAAUACUACAUUAAACUUAAAUUUUCAUUUUUUGACAACAAAGUAAGACUUUUAAUGAAUUUCCUAAUAAAUUUUAAAGCAUUUAUAUUAAGUCUAACAAUUUUAUCACAGAGUACUUACCGAAUAAAAAUUUCGUACACAACUCGCAAAAUUGAAAUGUUUAUAAGUACCUCAAAAAUGACUUAAAUUUUUUGAAAAUUUUACCACGUCUAGAAAAAACAAAUACGAGUUUUCUGUCUAAAUUACAAGUUCAGUUGAGUCGAUACGAAUAUUUUUAACUGAAUCUCAACAAAAAUAUUAAAAUUUGUAUAAAUAGCCUUAAAAUGGCUCAAAUGUUUUGAAUAUUUUACCACGCUUAGAAAAAGUAAAUAUAAAUUUCUUGUUCAAAUUUUAAAUGUUUACGAAUAUUUUCAAUUGAAUUACAACAAAUAAUAUAAUUGAAAAAUAAUAAAAGCAUUAUUUUCCUAAAUUUCCAGUUCUUUUACGUUUUAUCCUGGUUUUUCCUAGAUAUUGUGAAUAUAUAUAUACAUAUUAUAUUUUCCGCUUAGAAAAUCAAAAAAUGAUCUCCCAAAAGCACCAUCUGGACAAUGUUCCCUUUCAGAAAUGGUGCCGUGCGUAUAAAUCUGAGUAAGAUUGCUGGUAGAAUUUUUGUGCACAGGAUAAAAAAAUAAAAAACUAAACAUCUUAGUAAAACCAAUGCAUUCUUGGCUACACUCAAAAUCUAUCGAUUAAUUAACAAAUCCCACUUGUGAUAUUGAUGUGCCGAUUUUACGUUUUCUAUUAUCACAAACCUAUUAAUUGAAUUAUUAAUACUCGUAUUAUCGGUUUCGGGGGAUUUCACUGUCGGUCGACGAGUGACUCUAAUAAUAACCGUAUGACAUAACCGUCUUAACCCCGAGCGUCGGCGGCGACCCCGAGGUGUCGUCGCACACCACUGUACAAUCACUCACCAUGACGUCGAUGCCGAGCGGGUCUAUCAUGCGGGCCACAGCCAUCCACUUGAGGAACGUGUAAAUGGCCGUGCCCUGGAACGUGUCGCCGGCGUUGAGAAACAGCGUUCCGUCAGAGCCGUUGGACUUUUGGGCCUCGGCCCGAGCCUCGUCCACGGCCGUCUUGAGCCUCGCGAAACCGCCGUAACACCGCGGUACCGGGCUGCGGUCCAUGCAUUGCGCGCCGAUCCGUUCGACCGGCUCGAACCGCGAGUGCAUGUCAUUGGUGUGCAACACGAGUAACCGGAACGCGUGGCCGUCAUCGUACGGCACAUUUGCGGCAGCCACCGAAAAGAAUAGUAAAACCAACGUCGUCGUCGUCGUCGGCCGGUUCAUCGCUUCGAUCGCGGACGGUUGUUCGGUGUCGGUACGUGUACGACGUACGGAUCGCGUCGCGUUGUGCGUUCUGCACGUGUGCUGUCGGCCAACGUAAUAUUAAUUUUUCGUUCCCACGUCCCCACUAUAUUAGUGACCUUUUCACUGACACCGCGGGAGGAACAUCCUCCUACCACCGCCGUCACCGCCGUUACAUCGGCUACCACACAGACAGUGUCAGCGGAAUAAUAUUAAAUCGGAUUCCGAAUUCAGGUAUUCGAUACAAUUAAGCAUUGUUCAGAUACCGAAAUGGCCGAAUUCCAUUAGGUCCCCCGUCGUGUCGGCGAUGUUAGGUUAGGUAAGGAACUGCACACGCCGCCCGCUCUAGGUUUCUGCAAAAUGUUAUGUUAUACGCAGUGACGUACCUACCGAAAAAUAUUCAAUUGGACAGGGCUGGGCAGCCUAGGCAAGCGGACGAGCGAUUGGAAUGAGACGGGGACCAUUAUUGCGUUUAAAUACCGACAAAACUGAAUUAUUACAAAUUAUCGUUAUAAUCUCGUUGUAUAUUAGUAUGUAUGAUUUUUGAUUAUACUAAGACAAUAUUAUAUUAUUGUGUAUAAGAAUACACGUGUAAUAACAUCAAAUUUACAUAAAACGUGCUAUACAUUUGCCCCGAAAUUAGAAACAUUUCGCUCCGAUUAAUAAAAUGUUAUCGACAAUUCAAUUAAUCAUUUAGAUUUCUUCAACGAUGAUCGUUACUUAUAAUUCACGAUAAAUUCACUAUCGUAUUGUUUUCGAUUAAUUAAUCACACGCGUUCUUAAUAGUUUUUUUUUUUUUUGUCUGUCGAAUACGCAAUAUGUUUAAUUUAUACUGUACGGAGCCCACCAAUGUAGCGUUUAUUAUUAAUAAAUAAAUUUAAUGGAUAAUAUUAUUGUUGACUAAUAUCUUAAAAAAGUUAAAGUAAUACAGUGGUGUUUGAUAACCUCUUUUAUAGCAUGUUUAGAUUAAAUAUUAAUGGAAAAGGUUACGUUACAUUAGGUUAAGCAUUGUAUGAUAUAGGUACUUACAAACUAUGAUUUGACUAUUAUUAUAAAUAAGAGUGCCUGAAAUGAGAUUUUUAUCAAUACAUUAAACAUCCAAUAGUACUUACAUUAUAAUAUAAAAUAAAUGUAAAGUUACUUUGUAUCGCAUGCAUAUGUAUAUUUUCAAUUGUUAGAGUCCAAUCAUACUUGAUAAGGAUUGUUAUCCCGUAAAAAUAAAAUUUGUGUGACACCAAUCACACGGGCAAUUAAACAUAGCACUAUAAACAACGCAGACCGAUACAGUUAUUAUGUAACAAUAUAAUUGUGAACAUUCAUUCAUCAGAAUGCUAAAUAAUUAUUAUUGUUUUCUUGUUUUUUUUUUUAAAUGUUAUGUUCCAAAAAUAUAAGCCCGCCAGUGGUGAUGGCCCAUUAUCUUUGACCACUAAAGGCCAGGUGUUACACGUGUCAUAUUAUAAUGCUGUAAACAAAAAAUGCUAUCUAUCUAAAAAAAUUAACCACUCUCGUUCAGCACCGUAGCCAGAGUUAAAUGGGCCCCAGUGCAAAUUUAAUUUGUAGACGCAUUAUUUUCCAUUAAUAUUUAAUCUAACCGUAUACUUUAAAAAAGAUACGGGCAUACUUCGCACGAAGGGCGAGCCACAGUUGUAGAUGAGAAGUUUAAUGGGGAAAUUUAAUGUACAUCUGUACGCGACGAUUAAUCUUUGCUAACGAAAGAACGAUUCUGAGCGGAGUUCGGUUAAACAUGUAUUUAAUGGCCGUCAUAUUUACGAUUUGAAAAUAAUACAUUUCGUAAAUUCUCACAUUUUUCCUACGUUUUUCUCGGUUUUAACCAAAUAUUAUAAAAACGUUUUGGAAAAACAAAUGACCUCCUCAGUGUACUAUCCCAGUCUGAUUUCUUUUCAGAAAAGUGCUAUACUUGGAAAUCGAAGAAAAAUUUCUGGUAGAAAAGUUGUUCGCAGAUUAAAAAAAAAAAUAAUAAUAAUAAUAUAAUAUAAUAAAAUAAAUGCCAUUAAAAAACCAAUUUAAGAACAAAGUAUACAAAUUGGAAAAAAUGUUACUUCUUUUUAAAAACGUUAUAGAAACUGUUUAUUUUCAUUUAUAUUUUAAGAAUGCAUAAAGGAACUAUACAAAUUAUCUUCACUAUUCAGAAAAUAUUAUUAUAGUUAUAUUAAUUUAAAUUUUAAACGUUUAAAAGGGGUGCAACAAGGUUGCGAACAAACGUCACUUAUCCAAGAAUUUUUUUUUUUUAGCCGAAAAACGAAUGAUUGCGAACGUUUUCUCAGGCUACGUUGCCAAGUUUAAAUUUCUGAAAAUGUUUUAUUCUCUUCGGAGAUUUAAUUAUAAACAUUAUAAUAUUAUAACUACGUCACAAACUAAAAUAAAAUGAUACAAAAUUAUAGUGUUUAAAAUGAUGAUUAGUUUAAAUUUUUAUCUUGGUAAGCAUAUUAUACAUGAACGGAUUACGAAUAAUACUGCACGUCUAUACGAAUCCAGCUGGUUUUUCAUCAAAUUAAUAUCAAUUUAGGACUAAGAUAAUAAAUAAAUAUGUUAGUAUUUAUUCUACACCGUAUCUUAUCGACCGGCGAAAUAGCAGAAAACUAUUAUUAUUAAUCUUAUAUAAUUUGAUUUUAUGCAAAUUAAACGAAAUUUAGACCAAUAGUAUUAAAUCCAUUUAUUGUUUAAACACUGUGAAAUUCCCGUUAACGAUUACCUCUAUGUAACGGUCAUUCGUUUUUGUCCGUUGACGAGUGUUAUGCCUCUAUAAGACACUUCUAACGAUGGACACCUCUAAACAGCGGUCAUUAUUUCCGGUCCCUUCGGUGACCGUUAUAAUAUGGAAGUUUUAGUGUUUAAUUGACAAACGCCAAAUCUGGCAACGCCACACGAAAAAAAGGCAAGUAAAAACGUUCGCAAUCGUAUAUUAUCUGUUUAUAACACUCUGAAACUCUGCAACGUACUUUUAUACGCUAAUCAUUUAACGAAUAGUUUUCAGACGUUUUUGCUUCAAAUUUUUUAUUUGGUUCCCCCCCCCCCGACAUAUUUUUAGUAUUUUCUCGUAUAUCUAACCGCGUAACAUCGUUGUCAUCCGUUUGCCGGAAAUUCGUGAAAAAAACGCAAUCAAUAUAGAAACCCUGCAAACAUUUUACAUAAUAUUCUCCGGCGGGUCAUUAGGGACAUUCGCACACGUGUGCCCGUCGUAAUAUAAUAAUUAAGUUACAUAAUAUCACCCGAAUUCGCCCGGGUUAGGUUAUCAAAAAAAAAAAAAAUAAAUAAAUAAAUAAAGAACGACUAUAAAUGACAGAAAUCGAUAGGUAAAAUUAAAAUUGAUGUACCUAUACCCAAUCCCAACAGGGGUUCCCUUAGACAUUAUUAGAGUCACAUUUUUUCCCCCAAAUAAUUUAUAUUUCGCAGGUUUUGACAAUAAAUAUCAACCUAAAUGGGAGAAAAUUGGAGAGAAUUAGGGAAAACCGGCACCGAGCCCUUUAACAUUACUAUUUUCUGAACAUGUGAAAAAUGUAUUAAUUUUACUAUGAUGUAUGUUUCUUUGAUUUUUGUCUGUUAGUAACUUUUUUGUCAUAAAUCUCGCUCCAAUCAUCAACUCCAGAGGUGGUUUUUGGUAAAACGAGUUGUCUAGACAGUGCAUGAGAGAGAUCAUCGAAAAAGUCUACCCUUUUCGUUUUAGUCAGUCUAAUUAAAACAAUUAAAAAUAAAUUUCUCGUUUGCGGUUCGGAUGUUUGAGAUACUACCAUUUGAACAAUUUUUCACAUAUGCACUAAUAAUAUAUUUGUCGUCCAUUACGCGGUUAUUUGUUUGGUUUUGGUCCAAAUUACUGAUUUUCGGCUGACGCUAAAUGUAUUCGCGGUUUUAACUCCGUUUUCUUCUGAUCAUUCCGAUUCCUCUCAGAAUUUUCUCCUAAUCCCAACCUUUUGGACGAUUUUUACGUUACAUAAAAAUGUGUUAAUAUUUACUAUAUCUAUUGAUUUUUUAGAUAAUUAUUUAUGACUUUGUCCUAGGCUGCAGUAUAUUAAUCGACUUGUGAUUAAAUUGUUUUAUCGUUUUUAUAUUUAAAAUUGGUUGUCGUAUUGCGAUGACACACAAACCUCGACCCAAUUAAAAAAUCUGAUCGGCCGUUAAACGAUCUGAUAACAUUCUAAUAUCUAUAUCAUAAUAUCUUGAUUUUUCAAUAACGAUCAUGGCCUGUAGAUACCCAUAGUAGCGUGCACAGGGAGGGGGUGAUUAGAAGUUGUAUUUCCACCUAAAUUAGUUUACACAUACAACGACUAUGCAUAAUAAUGUAUUUAGUAAUUCAGUCUUAAAAUGUGUCUAUAUAUACCUCGAAAAGACACUCAUUACCUUGAAAGUAUUAACUCUUACCGAAAUAUUUUUUUUUUUAUUUUACAAUUCAAAUUAAAACUUCAACUAUUUAUGGAAUUUGCCUUACAGGUUACUAUUUGAAAAUAAAAAUUAGGUAGAGGUUUCAUCGUCCAAAUUAACGGUGAUAUAACAUAUUAGAGCUAACUAUUAGUUUCAUAAGUUGUCCAAAAAAACAAAUUAAUAAUUUUUGAAAUAAUAAGUAUCUUAUCAAAGAUUAAUCAUUCUGUAUAUGUACUGCAUUCGAGUUACAAGUUAAAUCUAGAAAUAUUGAAUAAAAUAUUCUUUUUAUGAUUCGGCUUUUUUAUUCUCGUUCCCGGUUUAAGCGUAGAAAAUGGGUCUACGAUUUAUUCAUGUUAUUACUAUACAUAGUGUCCCAUCGUAUUCAACGGAUUAUUGUAAUAUAUCUGUUAAGUAUUAAUUUUUCUUUUUUCAGCGAUUAGAGGAUGCAAAUAAAAAUGUAAUUUUUUUCUAUAUAGGUACUCAUAUAUGGCUCACCCUUGAACACACAAUUUGAUUGGAACAAAAAUUGAAUAUUAAACGGAAAGCGGCAGCUUUUAAGUUAUCGUUAUCCGAGGCGGUUUUUAGAUUUUGAGUAAAGCGAGGAAUCUAUUAUUAUUAUUAUUUUUUUUUAUAUUAUAUACACAAAUUCUUUACGAAAUCUUUCUCCAACGUAUCAAGUGUAGCAAACUUUCUGAAAGGGAAUCUUAUCUAAUUGGUAUUUUAACGAGGCCAUUUUUUGAUUUUCUUAAUAGAUUUCAUAAUAAUUGGGAGAAGCUCAAUAAUAAUGCUUAUAUUAUUUUCAGUUUUGUUUUUUAUUAUAAUUCUGUUCAAAAUGUUUGUGGAAAUUUUAAAUUAAGACAAAAAACUUAUUUUUGCGUUUCUAGACGUGAUAAAAUGUUCAAAACAUUUAAGUCAUUCUAGAGCUAUUUAUAGAUAAUUUAAUUGUGCUAGUUUUUUACUUAAGUAAUUUUAUUAAGUGAAUAAAAUUGUUAAACCAAACAGAAAUGCUUGAAAAUUAUUUUAACAGGAGGUUCAUUAUAAGUUGUACUUAGUGACCAACAAGGAAAAUUUCAGUUUAAUGUAGUCCUUUUUUUUAUAAAAAUUUUAAUAUCGAAUUUUGACGAAUAUCGUAAAUAUACAUAUAGCCUUUAUUUCAAACAUGUAAUAACCGAACCAUGUUCAGCUGUGAUUAAUUACUACAUAUAUAGAUAUACAUUAAAUUCCCCUAUGUAUCAUACCUUUCCAACUUCUCACCUACAACAGUGGCCCACCUUCGUGCGAAGUAUGUCCGUCUUUUUUCUUUCGAUUUCUAUUUAUUAUUUUCUAACAAAGUUUUUGAUAGUAUUGUGUAGAAGCGCGCGUUCUGUUUUUAGCCUUCACCCGAGUACCAAUAAUUAGUAUUUCAUCAAUAAUGACAUUGUACCCGUGGGUUCAAGUGUGUUAGAUGCUCAGUUUUAUUUAUUUUUUUUUCUUUCCUCUGUUUUAUAAUUAAAACGAAGCCGUAAUUUCUUCGAUUGGAAAAAAAACGCGUGGCAGUAACAUAAUGUACUAGAUUACGUGUAAAAAAAGAGAUUUUUUUCUUUUAUUUUUAAGUUCUCUCUGGCGCAUUUCAAAUUAAAAGCCAAUUUUUUUCCUCGUUUAAAUCGUUUGACAGCUCUUUGUUUUCGCUGACAAUUGAUAUCCGCUUGUGUUUUUAGAGAUCGCUACAAUAAUAAUCAUUUGUCGUUUCUGCUUUAUUUUACCGAACAUUAUAAUUAUAAAAAGUGCUGAUUCUGGGGAUGGGAGUGAUCACUGUUAUAGGUGAGAAGUUGGGAAGAUAGGAUACAUAAGGUUAUUUCAUUUAUAUCAUUAAGCAACGAUAAACCAUUGUUUGACGAAAGACGAUUCCAAGUGCAGUUCGGUAAUAACUUCAUUUGAAGUGCCAUAUUUUUUUUUGCGAUUUUCGUUUAAAUUUAAUUUCAAAACGCUUAUUAAAAAAAAAAAAAAUUUUAUCACGUUUAGGUAAGUCUAAUAUAAGUAUUAUUACUAAGUUUAAAGUUUCUACGUGUAUUUAUAACCUAACUACAACAAAAAAACUUCCAAAAUAUAAAAUUCCUUAAAAGCUCAAAAGUAGCUCAAUAGUUUUGGCAAUGAUACCGUAAGAAAGUAAAUCAAAAAGGCAACAAAAAUGGUAUUUUGUGAUUUUUCGGUCAAACCAUUUUUUCUGGUAGGAAACGUCGUCCGUGUUUUAAUAAAAUAAUGAAAUCGUGAAAUUGUACAUCUUCCUGCCUUUUUUCCCACUUAAGUGCUUUUAUUUAAAAAAUGGUGAAGAAAAAUGACUUUUUUAAAUUACAAUCUAGACAACUUGAGCUUUCAAAAAGAGUGAUACCUGUAAAAUCGGAGUAAUAUUAAUAGGAAAAAAGUAUCCACAGACUAGGACAAAGAACAAAAAAAUAAACAGAAUUAUAAAACCAAUAGCUCCCUUGCUACGCUUGUAAUGUAAAAUGUAUUUUUGGAGUUUCCAACGGAGUAUUCCGGUUUCAAUAAUGCGCUUAAAACAUUUUUUCACUAGAUUAAAGACGUUCGUAUUUAACGGUAUUAUGUUUUCAUAUAGGAAUUUUUUUUCCCUAUUAAAUUUUAUAUUUGAUAUGAUUUAGGAAGAAAAAUUCAUUUUUUUAAGCACAAAUAGAUCAUAUGGGAAUUGCACGUUAAUAAAAUCCCUUCGUGAAAACGUAUACUUACCUAUUAUAGUAAAUUGUUGACAUCAUUAAUUUUGAAAAAAAUUGUUUUUUUGUUUGAAUUUUAUUUAGUACCAGCUACAGGGUACAAUUUGAAUACGGGGAAAUUGUGACACUAGCAAUAAAUUGCUCCAAAACCAAUACUUAACUGUCAAAUAAUUGUGACAGUUAUCCCACUAUAAUAAACAAUAUUUCCUUAUCUAAAUGUUGAUAGUAUAAUAACCACUGAAUAAAAAAAUGAAAUGUGAUUUUGAUAACUGAUAGUAAAUAAAAUUAUAAAAUUAUAUUUUUUUUUAUUAGUGUUGCAUUUUAUUCUUUGUUUAUGUUAAUCAUAAUAACAUAGUCAAAAACGUAUGUAAUUUCUGUGGGUGUUGUUCAAAAUACACUAACCAGUCCAUAUUGUAGGUAUUAGUUAAAAUAUAUUACGGCCUUCUUUUUUUCUGUGGACAACUUUUCUACCAGAAAUCUUAAUCCGAUUUAUAAUAAUAGCAAUGUUUCUAAAACGAAAUUUAACUGCGGAAGUACUUUCUCGGGAGUUUUACCAAAAAAUGUGAAAAACCAGGAAAAAAUAUGAGAAAACCUAGGAAAACUUUGAAAAAACGUGAAAAUCGAUACAUUAAACAAAUAUUAUUUAAGAUAAUAUAUAAUGCCUAUGUAAUUAUUUUACCAUAAUAUGAAAUACCUUUAAAUUGUUGGCAAAGCAACACUAUCAAAUGAACCCCGCUCAGAAUUGUUUUUUCGUUAGCAAUGAUUUAUAGUUGCUUACAGAUAAACAUUGAAUUCCCGUCUGUAUCCUACCUUCCUAACUUUCCACCUACAAAAAUGGCUGCACCCACGUGCAAAGUAUGUCCGUCUUUUUUUUUAAAUUUGUUUGUUUUUUAUGAUAUUAAUUGGUAACAGUAUACAUAAAGAUGUUGCCCAUUAAAACGUUUUGAUUACAUUCCGCAAUAAGUACUCAGUGAAGCGACAAUGAUAUUUUAUUAUAUCAUAUUAAUAGAUGCAUAGUUUGAAUGCAUAAACAUUAAGUGUUGUACUAAUUUCCACCCGUAAAUAUUUUCAAUGACUUUAAAUGUUGUUAUUUUCAGAUAGCUCCCUCCUCCGCAACCCCGAAAUAUAAAAAUGUACUUAGUACUACACUGGUUGAAGGUAAACAAAUACAUUUUUGUUUUUUUGACAUAAAAAUUAUAAAAUUUUACAAGCAUUACAGAAAGAUAAUAUUCUGACACAGCACUCGAUAAUAACAACUAUAGUCCAUCGUGUACACCAAUUAGAAAUUCGUUGAACCGAACUGGUGUAUCAUGUUGAUUCCGAUUUAUACAUAUCGGUAUGUGAUACAGAUUCGACUCUUAUGGUACCGGUCGAACAAUAAAUUCAGUGCAAUCAUCAGACAUCAAACUACCUUUUUCUGAUGCCGUUACUUAUCAAUGUACAAAAUAUGAGUUGAAAUAAACGUUAUCUGUAGACAUGUUUCUAUGUUGGCUGUAAUGUAAAAUUUUUUUCGGGAUCUGCAGUUAUUUUUUUCAUUAAAUUACAAUUCCUCGUGAUAGUCCCAGAUGUCUCGUCCAAAAAAAAUGAUAAGGCAGGGAGCAGGUAAGGAAUAAGGAAAUUAAAUACAAUACAACAAAGAAUAAACAAUUUGUAUGCUCUAUACAAGCCACUUGCCGUACGUGAUUGUGUAUAUAAAGUUCAUUUGUUUAUAUCGAGUUCCUAUUUCGCGGCAUCGGAAACGAUUACCUAUACUCGUAUGUCUUGUUCCAUCUGAUUAUUAUAUGUACAUGUAACUCUAUAUAACUCUCUAAACUACAUUUUGUUGUCAGACAGGUCAGGAGGAGAGAAUCUCUUUUGUACGACGUACACAUGAACGCUUACCAGCUACAAUAUUCUGAUAAUAGAAAAAAAAAAUGAUCGUCAAUCGGUACGUACACAGUUCAAAUA